CCAUUUUCACAGUUUUCCUCUCCUUCCCCUCCCCUCUUCCCUCUUCUAGCUAUGUAACUGAUAAUGGAAGUAAUUAAUACACGCAAAGCAUCACGAUAUUGAAUGAAUCAAGAAGCCAUUUUUGCAAUUGGAUCCAACGGUACAAAAUCAAAUUCUGAAAGUCCAAUGAUUCCAUGGCUCACUGGAUCUCUUCCAAGCUUAAAGCCGCUGAAACUCUCAUCCAUCAGGUAAUUCUCCAAUAAUCUUCUCUUUCUAGAAUAAUUUCUAUUUUCUUGAAUUCAGAUGAUUUUUUUGUAGUGAUUUAAUUCUCUUUUCCUGCAUUGUCAACAAUUAUUCACUAAAUUUGGAUUCUUUAUGUGAACUUUUUGAUUAGAUGAUUCAGAUCGAUCAGCAAGCAGCAGAAUCAUUGGGUAACAUUGAGAAGCCAUGAUCUUAUGAACAAUUAGGCUUUGAAACCUUGCCAAGUAUGGGGGAAACUAGGUCAUUGAUUAACGAGUAGCUCAAAAAGAAGGUACCAGAAAAUGUCAGUGAGAAAAUAAUUUAAAGGUUAUUAGUUGCAGUGAUAGUAAUAUUAAACGGGAUGAUGAUGUUGGGGGUAUCGGUGAAUUUGAAUUCGAAGUCAAAUUCGAGGAGUGGACUUACUGAUAAUGAUGGGACGGAAUUAUUGAGCAUGCCAAAUAAAAAUGUGGCAUCCGAGGUUGUGAAUGGGAAUCAGAGUAGGAUUGGAGCGUUGGGGAUUAGGGGUUUGAAGAAAGAUUGUAUAAAACAAGGGAGAUUCAGGUCGAAGUUAUUAGAGGAAAAAAGGUCUGAGAAUGGUUCUAGAAAAUCUAGUGUUGAGUUGGAGAGUAAUGUAAAUGGUGAGUUAAUUAAAUCAUUGCCCACUAAACUUUACCCAUGGUUACUGCUUGCUCAUUGAAAUAUAAAAGGUUACUCAAUGCUCACUAAACUAUUCAUUAGUUUACCCAUCAAUCACUAGAGCCAAUUUUGUCUCUACAGUUGGACAAAAAUGUCUACAUGGCGGAUGUUAUGGCAAACAAAAGAUGAAUAAUAUAUACAUCAUUUAAAAAUAAAUAUGGAUUUGAAAAUAAGGGGAAAACAUGUACAAACCAAAUUUCAUCUUCAAUUCCAAAUCACAGUGUGUGCGAAAUUGAAAAUCACCUUUUCAUCCAAAAUCUAUGUCUUCCUUAAAUUGCAAUGCUUCCCAAUUCUAAUCCUUGGUAUGUUCCAUCUUUAUCUUCAAGCAUAUUGAAAUCUUCACUUUUUACCCCCAAAUCCAUCGCGAACCCUAGAUUUUUGUCGACAACCAGGAGGCUUUUGGUACAUAGGAUUCUUCUUAUUGUAUAUGUUCUAUUUUUCAUUUAUCAAUAUUCUAAAGUUAUAUUCCAGCAUACACAUCCAAAAGUGCAAUACAAUUGAUUGAAGCAAGAAACGAUCCAUUGCAUUCACAUCCACUCAACACUGCCAUUGUGCGCCAAUUAGAUCAGUAUGCUAUACAAAAUGUGCUCAAGGUACUAUGAGAGCAUAAUAUUCUUGUCUUAAUUGUAAGGAACAUAGGAGACACGAGACAUACAGAAAUCGAAAAAAAUAUAGUGGAAGAAUCUCUUUUGCAGACCAUGGAUGAGGGACCAGAAGGUGAAUUAUUUACAAUACUUUUGAUAAAUUCUUCAAUUUUAUAUUAUUUAUGUCGGAGACAUGUCUUGAGUUAGUCUAAUUGAGUUCAUUUAUUCACGAAGAACACGACUGUUGCAAUGCAAAUAAUAUUGGCACUGAGUUUAUUUUCAUGAAGUUUAUUUUUAUUAUUUUUUUAUAGUUCAAGAAGAGGAAGAGAUACCGAUUGAACGCCAUUUGAUUGAUUCAGAUAAUGAGGUGAACGAUGAUGAUUUCUAUUGUGAUAAGAAUGCAUCCAAGCAUAUUGCGAUUGGAUUACAUGCAAACUCUGCCGUGGAACUUAAGGUUGGAAGUGAAGAAGAUAAAGGUUUUGAUGAGUUAGAUUGCCCAAGUAAUGAUGAGCUGCGUACCGAUUAUUCUUCAAGUGAAGAAAACAUUUAUCACUUUCCUGUGUAUGAUCCCGAAAAGGAGAAGUUCAACCCACAACUUGAGGUUGGAAAGGAAUUUAAAAACAUUGAGGAGUUUAGGCAAGCUGUGAGGAAUCGUGGGAUUGCUACUAGAUGUAAUUUGAGGUUUAGACCAAAUGAUGAGUUUAGAGCACAGGCCAUAUGUAAAUUAGGGCGCAAGUGGAAAAUAUGGGCUUCUUGGAAUAAAAAGAAAGGUUGUGUACAAAUAAAGUCAGCAAAUUUAGAGCAUACUUGUGUAAGGGAUAGAACAAAUAGGCACUGCAAGGUAUAAAGCAGAUAGGUAUUUAGACACUUUCAAAGUUGACCCUAAUUGGAAGUCUAAACUUAUUAGGAAGGAUGUAAACAAUGAUUUGAAAUUGACAAUUAAUAAGUUACGGCGUCGAGGGCUAGAAGAUAUGCUAGGUUUUUUAUACAAGGAUCUAAUGAGCAUCAGUUCGAUAUGCUUAGGUCUUUUGCAGUUGAGAUUUUGAGAACCAAUCCUGGGUCUACGUGCAUAGUUGUCAUGUAUGAACUAAAGUUUCAAGGUGUGUAUAUAUAUAUAUAUAUAUUUGUUUAGAAGCUUGCAAGAGAGGCUUUUUGUCAGGCUAUAGGCAACUUUUGGGAUUAGAUGGGUUUUUCUUGAAAGGGACAUUUAGAGGUCAGGGCUGAAUUUAAGACUUUGACUCUGAAAGACUACUUAUGAAGGGCUACCAAGUUGACGACAGUGGCUGAUUUGAAUUUUUGGAUGGGUGAGAUUGUGAAGGAGAAACAACUUAUGUUUUCAACAAUGUGAUAUUGGAAGAAAGGGAAAAAUCCAUAUUGACAAUGGUAAUUGACUUACACAUGAGCUUCAUGAAGAGGAUACAAGCAAGGAGGGACAAGAUGAGAAAGGAGGCUGGACCUUUAUGUCGUAAAGUCCAACAGAAGCUUGUGAAGAGUUGUGAGUUAGCAGAUGGAUGUGAGGUAGAUUGGUUGGGUGGGGCACAAUCUUAUGUGAAAUGUUCAAAUGGAGAAUUUAUUGUCGAUCUACAUAAUAAGAUGUGUGCAUGUAGGAGAUGGGAUUUGUCAAUGAUUCCAUAAGGUCAUGUAGUUGCUGCAAUUCUAGAUAAAAGAGAGGAGCCUUGGAGGUACGUGCAUGCGUGCUAUAAAGUGAGCAACUAAGCACGUAUCUCAAUUAUUAUGAGAAUAUCAUCAAUCCCAUAAAUGGAAUAAAGUUAUGGCCUUCGGUUGAUGCCGUUCCAGUCAAACCACCAACUUGGGUUGUGUCUAAAUGGGCAAGAAAACAAAAGAAAAGAAGGAGACAAGUAGAGGAAGAUGUCAUCACCUAUGUCGGAUCUAAGGAUAAGCUGAAGAAGAGAGGUAUAACAGUAAUUACUUGCAGUGUUUGUGGAGGAACGGGCCACAACAUGAGAUAUCAUCAGAAGGGUGACUCAAUAAUUAAUUAUUGUUUUAAUGAUUAAGCAUGAACAAAUUGGUAGAAAGAAGCUGCUGGAAAUAUAUUUGUGUACAGCUGCUGGAUGAUCCUCCUGUUACUUCAACUGGCUAGGAAUAGGUAAUAGAUGUUCAAGCACUUGUUCACUUCUCAUUUACAAACCUCACAAUUAACUCCAAAAAAUAUUACCGUCCCUUAAAAAUUUAAGAACUUAUGAAACUCAAGGCUACUUUCUUAUCAAAAACAUAAAGUACUAUUCAAAGUUCCCAUAACUAAAUACUAAUAAUUCAAGAUCAAACAACAGACCAAACUAACUGCAGUACAGAAUUUUCCCUAAGACCUCCCAAAAAUAAAAAAUAAAAAAAUAAAAAAAUGCAGAAUUUUGUUACAUAAAUCUUCCCUUAAAACAUAAAAAUAACAAUAACAUUGCAAAUUAGCAAUAUCCCCGAACCCACUUGAUAUAUCUUCAUUAAUCUAUCCAUCUUAAGCUCUCUUUGCUACAUAUCAUUGGACUUGCAAAGUAGACCAUUCAUUAUAGUCUUGUAUCGUGGAUGAAGAUGUGGGUUGACCCAAGCAAAGUAGUGCAGAAUUUUGUUACAUAAAUCUUCCCUUAAAACAUAAAAAUAACAAUAACAUUGCAAAUUAGCAAUAUCCCCGAACCCACUUGAUAUAUCUUCAUUAAUCUACCCAUCUUAAGCUCUCUUUGCUACAUAUCAUUGGACUUGCAAAGUAGACCAUUCAUUAUAGUCUUGUAUCGUGGAUGAAGAUGUGGGUUGACCCAAGCAAAGUAGUUGCAAGCAUCUGAUAAUCCAUAGUAUCUGCAUCCCAAAAAUCGUCUUCCUGAAUUAUUCUCUGUCCACAAAGUCUAUCUUACAGCCAUCUGACCACAAUGGCACAAACCUUGUUCAUGAUUUUGAGAUGUGGAUGAAGAGAAUUCCAUGGCGAAUUGAAGAUAGUGUUCUUUCUAGGGUUAGCUUUGAAUUGGGGACUUCACUUCUGUACCUGAAAAUGGAAGGCACAAUUAAUUUUGAAGGGAUGAGAAUAACACGUUUUCUUAAAUGAUUUAUAAUUGUUAAUCAAUUAAAUGUGUUUUUAUCCAGUGUGUGGUUCGCUAACGUCGUGUUUUUCCAUGUAAUUUUUCCACUCACCUCGUAGACAUUUUUGUCCAGCUGUAGAGGUGGAAUUGACUUUAGUGAUUGAUGGGUAAACUACUGAAUAAUUCAGUAAGCAUUGAGUAACCUUUUAUAUUUCGGUGAGCAAGUAGUAACCAUGAGUAAAGUUUAGUAGGCAGUGAUUUCAUUAACUUGGAUAGUGGGACGGCAAGUGAUGUAGAAGGUGUGAUGCAAAAAACUUUGAUAUCCGAAUUGCAGAGCGAUGGAGGUACGUCAGAUCAAAAGGACACGAGUGAUGCACUUGUGCGAUAACAAGUAUGAGGCAGAUAUAGGAAAAAAUGAGGAGGCAAAUGGCAAUGGAGAUGGAGAGAAGCAACGUUUUACAAAUGAUUUGACAAAUGAUGAUCGUCUCAUUGAGAUGGUGCCAGCUUCUCAUGAUAGGAAAUUGAAUAUGAAGUUUCAAAUGAAGGACGGUGAGAGGUUUAAGAGUGGAAUGUUAAAUAACAAUAAAUCGAAAGUGAGUUCCAAAAGUUCAAGUUCUAUGUAGAAAGCUUCCUCUUUCCCAAGGGAUGAAGAGUCUGAUUCCGAGACAGAUUCAACUUCAUCUUCGAGUUCAAAGAGAGGAGGAGAGAGGGAAGAAAGGAUAAAAAGAUGGUAGCAGAUUCUGGCAGAAAGAGUAGCUGCCAAAGCAGUUGAGGCUAUCAAAGAUCGUGAGAACCUGGUUGUUAAAUUGGAGGGGGAGAAACAGAGUUUAGAGAAAAUACUUGAAGAUUGGGCCAAACAGCAAGUACAAGAAUAAGUAUUUCAGGGCUAUUCAACAUUUUUUUAUGUACUAUUAUUGAAAUAAUUAUUACACUAAUUGAUAAAGUUACUUUGAAACCAUGUCUCCCUAUUUUCUGGCAUUAACUAUGGAAAUUGUCAAAAUAUGGUAUUAAUGUAAAACCAAACAAGGACAUAUUCAUUUGUCACUGAUAGAAGUGCAUAUUUAGAGACAAUAUAUAAAGCAUUUGUACAAUAAAAUGUGAACUAAGAUGGUACUCUUAAUAUUAUAUAAUACAGAAGUACAGGAUGGUCUCUCUAUAAUUUGAAAAAGUUUUGGUCAUAAUUAUUUUCUAUGAGUAACAAGCUUAAUUUCUUCACUCUUUUCACACGUUCCAUUCUUAACACCAGUAACAGUGCCACAAUCUUUUGUCUUGCUAAAAUUGAUUUAUGACGUAGUGUUGUUAUAUUAAAUGCUUAAUCACAGUUAAAAGUCAUCUUACUUUAUCAUUUUCCUUAUAAUACUAAUCAUAGGAAUUGUUCUUCAAUUUAAACAUGCUUAUCAGUUGUUAUACUCUAUGAUCAACCAAAAGCUACUUGUUUGCAAAUCUUUGGCCCUUUUUCGUUCGUAAGUUUUAAACUGUCUAUUGUCGUCCAUCUUUCCUGUUGAUUCUUCUGUUUGUUGAAUUGAUUUCUUCCUUUGUUGUUGUUAUGACACUUUAGUUGCUUCGCCUUUGUAUGACCAACUCCACUGUUAAUACUUAUUUGGUAAUUUUUACAAGUGAUGCAGGAGGAUCCGAGUCGAGUGAUGUUAAUUUGUCAGAUAGCACAAUGAUGGCGCUGAGAUACCAUGAGAUGACGGAUCAGCGCAAAGAUGGAAAGUGAAUCAUCAUUAUUUCCUUAAUUGGGGGAAUUUUACGCGUCUUUGGUAAUUUGGUCAUAACUUUGGCUACGGUUAUCAGAAUCGCUAUUAUGACCCCAAUCCGGAAAGCUCUCUUCGGUGCGCACGUCGUGACCACCCAGCUAUGCUUGGUGAACGCCAAUUUCGAGCCCAAAAUUCACUGUUUUCCUUUUCAAAAUUCAAUUUUAAGUUAUUUUUUACUAUUUAUGGUAAUAUUUCGUUUCCUUUUUUCUAUAUGUUAGAAAACUCGAAUUGAGCCAAAUUUUUGGCAACUUACUUCUUUUACUUAAUAUUUUAUUUUGGUAUAAUUUUGGGAUUUUGCCAUUUUUGGUAAUUUUCCCAUAAUUUUGUAUUUCGCAGCUAUUUAACCAGGCUUGUGGGUUAGUUUUCAGCAUUCUGCAUUAUUAAUAAUAUUGAGUUGAAUUCAGAGUCUUUUCUCUGGCUUUUUGGGCAUUUUCUGUCGUUUUUUUCUUGCAAAUCAUCUGUUACAACAAGCCAAUAGGAUAAUCACUAUCCUACCCGACGUCAGUUGGUAUCAAAGCGUUAGCAUCUUCUUGGGAGAUAAAUUCCAUCAGUUAUAAUGGUUGGUGGACGUGGUCGUGGUCGUCGAGGACUGGUUCCGAUUGAGGAAGUCCAACAUCGUGAUCGUAAUAUUCAGGAUGUGACGAUUGAAGAUUUGCAGAGAUAAGUUGUGGAGUUAACCCAACGUUUGGCGGAGCAGGAGUUCGGUAAUCAUGAUGUAGAAGGUCACGAUUCCGAUACCAGUUUCGAAAACCCGUAUCACCAUCGUGCUCGAGUUUGGGAGCAUCGUGGACGGGAGGAUCGUCAUGUGGAUCUCGAUUUCAGAGUGGAUCUGCCCGAGUUUUCUGGUACAUUGCAGGCUGAAGGAUUUAUUGAUUGGCUGAAUGAAGUGGAGCGAAUUUUUGAAUAUAAGGAGGUUCCAGAUCGUGUCAAAGUGAAACUGGUCGCCAUCAAACUCAAAGGUAGGGCAUCUGCAUGGUGGGAACAGUUGAAGCGUUCACGAGAGCGAUAGGGAAAAUCCAAAAUUACUAACUGGGAGAAGAUGAAGAAGAAGAUGAAAGGGCACUUCCUCUCUUUCGGCUAUACUCAAACCUUGUUUCAGAGGCUUCAUUCACUAAGGCAAGGCGCAAGAUCAGUCAAUGAUUAUACUGAAGAAUUCUAUCAGUUGGUGGCUCGAAAUGAUUUAUCUGAGACGGAGGAGCAGAUGGUAGCAUGGUAUUUGGAAGGAUUAAGGCAGCCCCUACAGGAUGUUCUCAGCCUUCAUUCAUUGUGGACAGUUUCUGAGGCAUAUCAGCGAGCACUUGUAGUAGAGAAACAGCAAAGCAGGAGGCCAGUGGUCAGAGGUGAAGGAAGUCAGCCAGUUCGCCCUCAAGAAUCUCGUCCUGCUUAUCAAUCACAGCGAGAUAGUUCCAACUCAAGUAUUAAGUGCUUUAGGUGUGGUGAACAGGGGCAUAGGGCGACUGAUUGCAAGAAGCCUGCUGGUUAGAAGAAUAAAAAUCUUCUGAUUGAGGAGGAUAUGAUAGAGGAGUUUGAGGAAGUUGGGGAACCCGUGUAUGAUGAGGGUGAAGAUGAGGACGUGCUAUAUGGAGAUGGUCAGGAGACCCUGGUUGUUCGAAAGAGGCUGCUGAUUCCCAAGGGCGACUUAGAGGAUGAUUGGUUGAGGACCAACGUUUUCCACACAACCUGCACAGUUGCUGAUAAAGUCUGUAAGCUGAUAAUUGAUAGUGGCAGUUGUGAGAAUGUAGUGUCUGAGGAGGCUAUCGAGAAACUGCAACUGAAGAUGAAUCGUCAUCCCAAACCAUACAGGUUGUCUUAGUUGAAUAAAGGCAGUGAAGUAAUGGUAGAAAAACGAUGCUUAGUGUCUUUCUCGAUUGGAAAAAAAUAUUUUGAUAAUGCUUGGUGUGAUGUGGUAUCAAUGGACGCCUGUCAUGUUUUGUUGGGACGACCUUGGCAGUAUGAUCACAGUGUUAUCCAUGAUGGGCGGAAGAAUACUUAUUCUCUUAACAUCAAAGGGAAGAGAAUUGUUUUGGUGCCUUGCAGGGAAGGAAACAUCCCUGCCUCGGUAGUUAAAAACCCCAAUCUACUUUCGAUGUCUAGGUUCUUGGUUGAGGUUGGGCAUGAAAAAAUAGUUUAUGCUUUAAUGCCUCGUGAAAAUAAUACAGUAAAUGUGGAUUCAGAAUUUCCAGUAGAAGUACAGCAACUACUGAUGGAGUUUUCUGACUUGAUGCCGGAGGAUCUUCCUCAAAGACUACCACCUAUGAGGGACAUUCAACAUCAGAUCGACCUCAUUCCAGGGUUGAGUCUACCAAACCGACCAGCAUAUCGCCUCAGUCCCAAGGAAGCUGAAGAGUUGCAACGACAGGUGGUAGAAUUAUUGGAAAGGGGCUACAUUCGUAAGAGUAUGAGUCCUUGUGCAGUUUCUGCUCUCCUAGUGCCGAAGAAAGAUGGGUCAUGGCGUAUGUGUGUUGACAGCAGGGCAAUUAACAGGAUUACAGUGAAGUACAAGUUCCCAAUUCCCCGUCUGGACGACAUGUUGGAUCAAUUGUCCGGUUCUAAGGUCUUCUCAAAAAUUGACCUUAAAAGUGGAUACCACCAGAUUAGAAUCAGACCUGGAGAUGAGUGGAAAACUGAGUUCAAAACUCAGCAUAGAUUGUACGAGUGGAUGGUCAUGCCCUUUGGACUAUCCAACGCACCCAGCAUUUUUAUAAAGUUUAUGCAUCAGGUUUUACGGCCUUUCAUGGGGAAAUUUGUGGUAGUUUAUUUUGAUGACAUACUUAUUUAUAGUCUGACAUGGGAGUCACAUUUUAAUCAUCUUCGUGCUGUCUUUGAUGUAAUGAGGACGGAGCGCUUAUUCAUCAAUCAGAAUAAGUGUUCUUUCUUCACAACUUCUGUAACUUUUUUGGGUUUUGUUGUGUCUACUGAUGGUGUUCAUGCAGAUCAAUCCAAAACUGAGGCAGUUUUGAAUUGGCCAAAACCAAAAACUUUGCAUGAUGUCAGGAGUUCCCAUGGAUUGGCAUCCUUCUAUUGUCGAUUCAUCAGAAACUUUAGUACCUUGAUCGCUCCUAUCACAAAGUGCCUUAAAGGGCGUGAUUUUCAGUGGACUGAGGAGGCAGAGGCUAGCUUUCAGUUGGUUAAGCAGAAGAUGACGGAGGCCCCAGUCUUGGCACUUCCGAAUUUUGAAAAGGUGUUCGAGGUAAACUGUGAUGCGUCUGGAGUUGGCAUUGGUGGUGUUCUGAGUCAGGAGGGACGUCCAGUAGCCUUUUUUAGUGAGAAGCUAUCGAGAUCGAAGAAAAAUUAUUCCACUUAUGACCUGGAGUUCUAUGCCAUAGUUCAGACUCUGAAGCAUUGGCGCCAUUACCUGGUACAGAGGGAGUUCAUCCUUGUUACUGAUCAUGAGGCUUUGAAGUACAUCAAUGGGUAGCACAAGCUGAGUAGGUGACAUGCAAAGUGGAUGACGUACUUGCAGGAGUUUACUUUCACACUCAGGCAUCAAGCAGGGAGUUUGAAUCGAGUAGCAGAUGCAUUGAGCCGUCGUACAUUACUCCUCACCACCAUGAGCACCAAGAUUGUCGGAUUUGAGGCAUUUCCUAAUAUGUAUGCUGAGGAUCCUUCAUUUGGGAAGAUAAUUCAGGAGGUAACUGAUAAUCACCGACAUGAUUUUGUUUUAUAUAAUGGUUACCUGUUUCGUGGAUUGCAAUUAUGCAUUCCGGAUUGUUCACUAAGGCAACAGAUUAUUAGUAAACUUCAUAACGAAGGACAUUUUGGGCGAGACAAGACAUUGGCAUUGGUCUCUUCUGAUUAUUACUGGCCCAAGUUGAGCAGUGAUGUGGCGCAUUAUGUGGAGUGGUGUUAUGUAUGUCAGCGGUCUAAAGGGGCUCUUACUAAUGCUGGAUUGUACACACCAUUACCCGUACCUGAAGCUCCUUGGUUUGAUGUCAGUAUGGAUUUUGUCUUGGGCUUACCUCGUACAUAGCGGGCGAUGGAUUCCAUUCUUGUUGUGGUUGACAGAUUUUCAAAGAUGGCUCAUUUUGUGGCUUGCCAGAAGACAAUGGAUGCUAUUCGGAUUGCUCAUCUUUAUUUCAGAGAGAUUGUGCGUUUACAUGGUGUUCCACAGUCAAUUACUUCUAAUCGUGACACUAAGUUUAUAAGUCAUUUCUGGAGGAGUGUGUGGGAGAAACUUGGAAUGAAAUUGAAUUUUAGCAGCACAUACCAUCCCCAAACAAAUGGUCAGACUGAGGUGGUGAAUCGGAGUUUGGGAAAUCUUUUGAGAAGUUUAGCCGGGACUAAACCGAAGCAGUGGGAUUUGGCAUUACCUCAAGCAGAGUUUGCUUAUAACCGGUUGAGGAAUAGAACCACCGGACUGAGUCCUUUUGAAAUUGUCUAUGGUCGAAACCCAUCCGGAGUACUUGAUUUGGCUCCAAUUCCACAUGUGGGUCACUUCAAUAACAAAGCUGAUGAGGUGGCUGAACAUCUUCGAGGUAUCCAUGAGCAGGUGAAGCUGUCCAUACAGGAUAGUAAUACUAAGUACAAAGUUCAAGCAGAUAGUCAUCAACGCCAGGUGUUGUUUGAUGUUGGUGAUUUUGUUUGGGCAGUAUUAACUCAUGAUCGUUUUUCAGCUGGGGAAUACAAUAAGCUAAAGGAGCGGAAGAUUGGACCUUGUGAAGUGCUGCAGAAGAUCAAUGAUAAUGCUUACAGAUUGCGCCUCCCGAGCCAGUUGAAGACCUCUGACUUCUUCAAUGUAAAACACCUAAGCCCUUGUUUUAUGGAGUCCGAUGAAGUUACUGUGAACUCAAGGGCGAGUUCCUUCCAACCCGGGGCGACUGAUGCAGGAGGAUCCGAGUCGAGCGAUGCUGAUUUCUCAGAUAGCACGAUGAUGGCGCUGAGAUACCAUGAGAUGACGGAUCGGCAUAAAGAUGGAAAGUGAAUCACCAUUAUUUCUUUAAUUGGGGGAAUUUGACGCGUUUUUGGCAAUUUGGCCAUAACUUUGGCUAUGGUUAUCGGAAUCGCUAUUAUGACCCCAAUCCAGAAAGCUCUCUUCGGCGCGCACGUCAUGGCCACCCAGCUAUGCUCAAUGGAUGUCAAUUUCAAGCCCAAAAUCCACUAUUUUCCUUUCCAAGAUUCAAUUUUAAGUUAUUUUUUUACUAUUUAUGGUAAUAUUUCGUUUCCUUUUUUCUAUAUGUUAGAAAACUCGAAUUGAACCAAAUUUUUGGCAACUUACUUCUUUUACUUAAUAUUUUAUUUUGGUAUAAUUUUGGGAUUUUGCCAUUUUUGGUAAUUUUCCCAUAAUUUCGUAUUUCGCAGCUAUUUAACCCGGCUUGUGGGUUAGUUUUCAGCAUUCUACAUUAUUAAUAAUAUUGAGUUGAAUUCAGAGUUUUUUCUCUGGUUUUUUGGACGUUUUCUGUCGUUCUUUUCUUGCGAAUCUUCUGUUACAACAAGCCAAUAGGAUAAUUACUAUCCUACCUGGCGUCAACAAGCUUCAGAAUUGCAGACAUCAAUGAUGGAGAUUAUGGAAGCUACCGAUUUAGAGAAGCAGAAACUUAACAAUACACGUAUAGAAGCACUUGUGAGACUGUCAAAACUUGCGGUGGGUUUAUAAUUUCAUUAAAAUAGAUUUAAGCUUUAGCUCUAUAGUUGAUUGAUAUCUUAUCAGAUUUUACUUAUUAUCUUUUAAUUUUUAUUGUUGUUGAUAUCGUUCUCAGCAUGUUUAUUCAUUGCAUUUUAUGCACUGCAGACUGCGAAUGCCGACCUUGCAAGGUCUCUUGCUGUUGCACAGAAAAACCUUGAAAUAGAGGUACUUGGAAACCUCUUUAGUUGGUUAUUGUGUUGCAUUUUUCAUUUGCUCCCCCUCCCCACCCCACCCCACCCCACCCUUUUGGUUUGUUGACCCUUUUUUUUUUCCCCUUCUCCAGUGAAUGGUAAAUGAUGCAUGAAUACCUUGAGAAAACUCAAGACAUUAUGUUGCAAAAGCCAACUUUUUGGUAUUAGUAUUUGGCAGGCAGAAUUGAAACUUAAUAUUUCUAUAUAUUGUUUUACUUAUUCAUGUUUUCAGUGCAAAAUUGAAGGAGAGGGAAUUGUCAUGAGAAAACUUAAUUUGACAUACUAUCAUCUAUUGCAUUUACAGGAGGUGCGGCACCAAUGUGGUGGUCGUAAUUUCCUUGGUUAUUUGUAAAGUUAGCAAAUUGAAGGAGGACCUCGAUCUCUUUGGACUAUGUUUCUUUUUACAAUCAUGUUUUAGGUUUUUGGUCAGUAGUUAAUUAUCAAUAAACCAGUAAUUAUCAGCACAUUAGGAAGUUAGUGAUAGAUCUUCAAUUAGGCUUCAAAAUUGACCUUGUGAAAUGCUUGAAUUGAAAUUGUACAGUGACUUCUUUAUGCUAGCAUGAUAGCAAAUAGAUUGACUCAUGAUUUUGUGCAUGGAUGGACCAGGUUGAUCUUAUCACUGAACUUCAUCAAAAGAUUUAAGUCGAAAGAAGGAACACUUUAAGGUGUGCUUUCUGUAUGUUAAUUGGAUAGGGGAGUAACUUUAGUUCCAAUCCCUCUCUUUUCAGUUUUUGCAGUAUGUGUGCUUUGUAUCUGUGCCAGAAUGACUUGUCUAAAUGUAGCUCAUGGUGUUAACCUAGAGGCCUGUCGCUCUAAAUAAUAUUGAGAAUUGCACAUCAAAUCUUGCUUCAUGGGGCAGAGACCAUUUGAUUUUCUUUUUCCAAAUUUCCUGCACUACAUAUUUACUGCCUUGAAGUUUAAUUUUGAACUUCAGGUCAUAUUUCAUAAUUGUAUUUAAUUAUUAAAUACUCGGUACGCAUUUGCAGAAUACUCUGGUUAAUGCUUAAAAUAAAUAAAAAGUAAUUUUUUACUUGUAAACAAGAUUGAAUAAAUUACUUUUCCUUACAAUUAAGUGAAAAACAGUUACUUAUUGUGAAAAAAAUUCUUACAUUAGUGUCACAUGAAGCAAGUUCCAAUGAUGAUCAAUAAAAGAAAUACUUAUUUACUUGCACGUAUCUUUUAUGCUUAGCCAAGCGUGCUAUAAGAGAGUAAAACAUUGAACCGGGAGUAUGUAUGAAUUAUGCUGUCGAAAAUUACAUUAAACAGAAUUUAACAACUGAGUUUAUUGUUGGUACUUACACAUAUCUUUUAUGCUUAGCCAAGCAUGCUAUAAGAGAGUAAAACAUUGAACCGAGUUUAUGUAUGAAUUUUGCUAUUGAGUUUAUUGGUUGAACAAACAACUCUUGUUCUUUUAUCAGGUUGAGGCACUAUCCUCAAAAAAGGCAAUGCUGCUAUUCAGAAUCAAGGUAAGUUUCUGUAUUAGCAAUCAAAGCAAUGAAAUGAUGCCAAAUACUACUCUGAAUUGUCACCAAGUGUCCAAACGUUUUAUUUUUCUGAAUUUUUUGGUUUAAAUGUCUUAGGCAGUUUCAAGGUUACUGGAUGAGAACAAGUUGAUUGUGGAAUUAGCUGAUUUUCCCGGUACCUCUUCAAAAGUUGAUCUAGAAUCCAGUGUAUGGGAACCCUAUAAUUCGAAGUUCAGGCCUUUAGUAGUUAAAAAGAAAACUCGAUCCAGCCAGCAACAUUUGGGAUCAUUGAUUCGACAGUUGGACUCAAUUUUUUCUACUAGUGUCAUCUUUCUAAGAAGGAAUUCGACUGCUGGGAUUUGGUCUGUCGCCUACUUUGUAUGCUUUUAUCAAAUGGGUGUUAUACAUUCUAACGCCUCAUUCUCCUUUCUCCAAUGAUGCUAGGUCUGGUGCUGUUGUUUCCUUGGAGAAUAUAAACAACACUGGAGGUGUCUAAUUUACUUUUUGGGUUAUAAAUUUAUUUUACAUUUUUUAAAAGUGUUUUUUGUGAUUCGUAUAGAAACGUGGCUAUGGUUGAGAAAAGUAUUUCUCAUUUUACAUGUUAUAUUAGUUGUAGGUUCUACGUUCUAGUAUUGUACGUAUAGAGAUAGAUCUAGCAAUUAACUGAACAAAGUGGUGAAAGAGGGUUCAUGUAAUCGACUGACAAUUCUAUUGUAUUGUACACACAAAAGAUGCUUCAAUAUAUGCUACAUAUUAAUCUUUCUAGGGUGCACAAAAAGUAAAUUUGGGGUUUUUUUGGGUAUGUUAGAUACUUAUAGGUCAUAUUGCAAAAUCCUGAUACAUUGUACAUUUAUGCAAAUAUGCAUCCGAUGCUCCAUAUAUCAAUGGCAGGUGUAUACUGCAAACGAAAUUUUGUUUAGAACCAUUAUACAUUGUUUUCAAGGGUUAAAUCCAUCAAUGGCCAUACAACUUUAUAUUUAGUAUUACCAUGAUCACUUAAUUUAAUUUAAUUUAAUUUUAUCACAGCCAUCCAACUUUAAAUUUAGUGUCACCAUGACCAUCUAAUUUGAUUUUAUUUCACUAAGGUCAUACAAUUUCAUAAAACGUCUCAUCAUCAUCAUCAUCCAAUUUUAUAUAACGUUUCACUCAACCAACUUUUUUUUUAAUACCUUUUCACUAACUAAUUUUAAAAGGGCUAAAACAAUACUUUUACGUUAUAUAUAAAAUAAAGUUAAAAAAUAAUAAUAAAAUUUUAUUUUAAAAAUAUAAUAAAAUAAAAACUAAUUUUAAAAAAUUUACUUAAAAAAUGAAAUAUUUAUUUUAUAAAAAUGUUUAAAAAAAUAAAAUAAAAAUAUUUUUAGAAAAAAAUGUUGUUAUUCUAUUUUUUAAUAAACUUUUUAUUUUAUAAAUUUUUAUUUUAUAUAUAAUGCAAAAUUAUUGUUCCACCCCUUUUGAAAUGAGUGAAAAGAAGUUGUGUGGUCAUUGAUGGAUUUAAAUUAGAGAAUCUAAUCAAAAUUGCCUAGAAAUAGAAUUGGUGUUAUUUCCACUUAUUUUAUGCACAAUUUGAAGUGUCCAACUAGUUAUAAAUCUAGCCCCAUUUGGUCGCCAUUAUUCGAGAUUAUAAUUUUUUGAAUAGUAUUUUUUGAAGAAUGUGUGGUUAAAAAAAGAUAAACAAUUUUGGAAUUAUUUAGGACAAUUUUGGAUUUACGUGUAAUAUUAUUUUAUUUGAAAAUGUGUGAUUAAUAAGAAUGGAGAGAAAAUGGAUUAUAAUGGGAGCCAAACGGAAGCCUAGUAACAUAUAAAAUAACAAAUGAAAGAAGGGGAAAAAAUAUCAUAUUCUAGGACUUAAGCUUAGGCUAAUUCAAUUUUAAGAAAACAAGUUUACCUUUUCAAAGAUAAUUAAAUUGUAUUAAUUAAAUAAUUAAUUGUAUAUAAAAUAAUUUCAAUCUCUUUCCAGUCUAGGCCACAAUCACUGCCAUUCACCUUCCUUACCAAUCCUUUCCACAAUCAUCGACAUCCACUCUCACAAUUGCCGACAUCUAAAUAACUUUGUCAAAAAAAUUUUAAAAAAAAAGAAGAAGAGAGAGAGAGAGAGAGAGAGAACUUUACUAUUAGCAUAACUUAGAACUUGUUAUCUCAUUGCCAAUAUUGCUAAGGUUACGUUAGUGAUUUUCUUUGCCAGUCUAACAUGCGACUAGAGUAUAAAUCUUUCAGGGCCAUACAUCAUAUAGAUAAGAGAGAGGUAAACAAGCGUUGUAUAAAGGAAAAGAAAGUAUUGGGACAUUUAUCAGCUUACUUCAGAGAAAAAAGAUCCACAUGACUCACGUGCACGAUACCAACGAGUAGCAACAUAGUCCUUCGAAAAAUAAAUUAAGAAAAUGAAAAUUAAAGGUUAGAAAGUGAAGUAGAUGACACUCAAAAAGUGAUAGCGACGGCCAUAUAUGAAAAGCUUAAUAGAGUUCAUUACAGUCCAAAAAAUAGCGGACGGGGCAUCAUUAAAUGACAAACGUGCAAGACCAAAAUCACAAAUCUUUAACUUACAAUCAGCAUCAGCAAGAAUAUUUUUUGGCCUCAAAUCUCGGUGGAAUACAUUUGCUGCAUAAAAAUAGAAAUAACAACAAUAAUGAGAAUAAAUUCCUCACAUAAGCAAGGAAGGAAGAAUGUGAAGGGGGAAGUUUCAUAUUGCAGAAUGUCAAACCUGUGUGAAUGAUUUUUUUUUUUUUUUUUUAAUUGUGGGUAUCCGGGCAGCUUACGCGCAUGGGACCCUGAAAUUUACAAUUGGAUACUCACCUCAGUGGUCCUGAAACUUGUGUGAAUGUAUUUUAAGCCACGGAGGAGCUGAUACGGGGAAAUCUGAUCAUGUUCAACUGUCAGAUUAUCAUUAGCCUUAAUCACUUGGUGAAGGUCAGAUUCCAUCAAUUCAAAAACAACAUAGAUAUCUCUAAAUUCUCUAUGAGAAGGAGGGAGCAUUAUAUGAUUUAUUUCAACAAUAUCGGGAUGGCGAAGCAGCCGAAGAAGCUUGAUUUCUCUAAGAAUUCGUGUAGAGACAUGUUCAAAAACGUCAUUGAUCUUCUUGAUUGCAACGUUUUCUCCAGUAUGGGUAUCAAUUGCAGGACCCACCACACCAUAACUACCUUUCCCUAUUUCUUCUUGAACCUGAUAUCGACUCGCCUCCCCAUACUCCGUGAAGAAUUCUGUUUCCUGUACAUUCUGGAUAAAUAAGUACCAAAUUAGAAUCUGUUGAGUGCUUAAACAGUUACAUGAAUGUAUCCCUUUUCGAGAUAAUAGGCAUUGCUCAAAAUUUUCCGAUUUAGAUGUCACAAAGUAAUCAGAAAUUCAGAUUUACUUCCUCCCACAAAUCUUUCUCCUUGGUUGCUCUCGCAGCCAAUUACCAAACUAAAGGGGGGGGGGGGGGGGGGGGGGGGGGGGGGGGGGGGGGGGGGGGGAUCACCAAAAUCACAAUGAUUCAAAAUACAAAAUAUUCAAUAGGAUAUAAAUUAAAAUAGACUGAGUUAUAAUUCAAAAAAUAAAAAAUGCAAAAAAACCAAAGACCUUCAUAAUUCUGGGAAACACAUUGGGCAAAGAGUUUAACAUCUAAAAGAAACAAAAAUUCAAAUCUACACUAAAUUCAAAUCGGAAGUUUUGGUGCAUUGGCAAGGUUAUCAUAAAAAAAUACUAAAACAAAUUUUCUCAAAUAAUCACGGAAGACUUCACUCAUAAGAGCUUGAAAUGUUGAUGGUGCAUUAGUCAAACCGAAGGGCAUUACCAGGAAUUCGUAGUGUCCUUGAUGAGUUCUAAAUGCUGUUUUUUCCACAUCUUCCGGGCUCAUUCGAACUUGGUGAUACCUAGAUCGCAGGUCGAGCUUGGAAAAUACCUGUGCACCAUGUAGUUCAUCUAAGAUCUCAUCAAUUAUAGGAAUUGGGUACUUAUCCUUAAUGGUAAGCUGAUUCAAAGCCCGAUAAUCUACACACAUCCUCCAUGAGCCAUCAUGUUUCUUUACCAAUAUGACUAGGAAAGAAUAGGGGUUGUUGUUGUGUCGGAUUAUACCCAUGGAAAGCAUUUCCUUAACCAUUCUCUCAAUUUCAGCUUUCUGAAAGUAAGGAUAACGAUAUGGCUUUCCUGAAAAUGGGCCCCACCCAUGCUGUAUUGGUAUUUUGUGGUCACAUGCUCGCUCGGGAGGUAACCCUGUUAGUUAUUCAGCAAGUACUUUACUAAUUUUUUGCAAAAUCGACUUCACUUGUGGAUGGAGUUCUUGCUGGACUUCACCUUUCUUUUCCUUAAGUAGGAGUUCAAGUAAAAUUCCUUUCAUCGGUGUUAGCUUGUAAAUUUCAUGACCAUCAGCCACCAUGUCCUCAGUGCUUUUCAAUCCAUGGAGGUGAAAAAUCUUACCAUACAAUUCAAGCUUCAUUAACAAUUUAGAGAAAUUCCAUUCAAUUUUCCCAAGUGUGCAGAGCCAUUGUGCUCCCAAAACAACAUCACAACCUUCCAAUGGUAGUAAAUAAAAAUAAGCUUGAAUAGGAUGGCCUUGCAAAAUCAAUUGAACAUUUUUACACUUCCCUGGGCAAGAUAAUUUUUCUCCAGAAGCCAACAUUACCUUCAAGUUGUCAUAUGAGUUUGAUUGGAAGCCUACCUUCACUGCUAGCUGUUCAUUGAUGAAGUUAUGAGUGCUUCUUGAAUCGAUCAACACAGUAGCUUCUUUGUAAGUAAGAUAACCUCUAACUCUCAUUGUUUUAGGAUUUCGAAGUCCAGCAAUCGCAUAGAGGGAAAUUUCUGGCAUAUCUGAAACUUGCUCCUCAGAUGGUUCAUCUUCUUCCAUCUCCACAUCAUCAUCACUGUCCCUUAAUGUAGCUUGGAUAAAGAACAACUUCUUACACACAUGUCCUGGGCCAAACUUUUUAUUGUAUUUGAAACACAAGCCUCUGCGCCUCCUCUCAUUUAUUUCCUUUGUGGUCAUUCUCUUAAUAGGAGCUGGUCCUAAACUUUGGAUGCGCCGUGCUGGAGUUGUGCGAAGAGCAGGUUGCAUGUUCUUGCGUUGGUUAAAAUCUCUAGCUUUGAAUAGCCUUGCUAACCCUAUAGCUAAGGACAGAGACCUUGGCUUGUUAGCUCUAACAUCAGUUCUGACGGGUUCUUGAAGGCCUCCUACGAAACAACUGACUUGUCGAGAUUGCUCCAUUGGUCCAGCCUUAGCCAACAAUUUCUCAAAUUUAUCCUGGUAGUCUUGUACUAAACUUGUUUGUUGUAAAUGAGUUAGUUCAGCAAAGAAAUCCAAAAACUGAUUUGGCCCAUACCUUGCAUUUAAUCCGUUGCUGAAUUCUUCCCAAGUGGCAGUGCCCAGCUCUUGUUUCAUCAAUUGGUACAAUAGAUGUGCAUCGCCAUCCAAAUGAAAUGAAGCUAAUGCAACUCGAUCUUGAACAGGGAUUCCAUAUAGUUGAAAUAAUUGGUCUGCCAUAUCGAGGAAAAUUAAUCUUUACCGUUUUUGAAACAUAAGAUCCUGAUAUUGAACCCUCAGAAGCAUUUACAAGAACACCUGGUGUACUAUGGGCUACUGUUGAGUCUUCCAUCCUGCCUGGAGUUUGCAUUCUAGUAGUAGCGUUUCCAACAAGCUCACUAGUCUGAAUGGCAAUUUGUUCCACCCAAUCAUCGAGUUUACUGACUGUUUCAGACAAUUUACGCAGGACCUCCUCCUGACCUGUCAUCAUCCCUACAACCACCUCCAAUUGUUCCAACCUGUGUUCCAUUCCCAGGCUCUGAUACCACUGUGCUACAGCCUUGCUAGUAGAAGUAGUUUUUCCUCUACCUAUUUUGGGACUAAAAGAAAAAACAUAGAUUUUUCUAGCUUGUUUGAGGGAGCAAGAACCUCCAAUUUUUUAUGUAAAUCAAAAGUGUAGCAGAAAAGGAUUUUUAUCUUUAUUUCAUUCCAGAAUAAAUAGUAGAAAAAUUCAACAAAUUCCCACAAAAAUAGGGAUAAAGACCAACGUUCACAAGUUGGUUUUAACUACUCAACAACUAUGCGAGACUUAUUCAAGGAACUAAACAUAAAAAUGGAAAAUUAUUAACUUCAGGACAUAAAACUCCUAUCACUCUUAUCCUUUUUUCUCUCUCUCUCUCAUAAUUUAUUUCUCCACUAAAAAUUUUAAAAUCAGCUAACUUUUUAUAUGUAUAUUUCAAUAGAGAUAAAAACUCUCUCAUUUUUCAUCUGCUUCAACCUAAAAGUUUCAGAACUUUAUCGAACACUAAACAAUGAAAUAUUUUUUUAUAUAAAUAACUUCGAAUUGGUAAGUAUAUUUGCGUAUGUUUACUUUAGUUUUCGUUAAAUUAGUAUACAUUUUAAUCGAUAAAUUUUCUUUCGACAUAGAUUAAAAUGUUUUUAACAGAUCUAUAAUUUUUUAAGUAUGAAUAAGAAAAAAUUCAUCUGCAUCUAAAUUCUUUCGGGCGAAAUCCAUGAAAACGUUUUUGAACAGACUUAACAGUCUCCAAACAACCAGAAGGAUGUUAAAAUAGCUGGCGAUUAUCGCCAGCUAUUUAAUAGUUAGUAGUUAUAGCGGUCUAUUUACCCCGUUGUUUGCCUGUUUUAGUACAGUUGCCCCAAAUUAAUCGAUUUUCCUACUAAUUUUCCUGAUAAUUAAAAAUUCUAUUUCGUCAUGCAAAUAUGAUUGUAAUUCCGGUUUGUUAUUUUGGUGAUUUUGAAUUGGAUGAAAAAAGAUUGAUGGGUAAGGAAAUUGACGAGUUAUAAUUAAAUUGUGGUGGCUGAGGAGGAGGCUACCAAACAAAGGCCUGCUCGAGUGCAAGAGAAGUCUCCCAGCUUCCUUGUCGGAAGGGAGGAGCCUUUGGCUCCAGCUUUGGUAAAGGCCCUGCCACCUGAGAUCCGAGGCACUACUGAAAGUUUUAAUAAAUUCUGGACGGAUCGGUGGCAGCUGCACGCCUCCUCCUGUGAUGCCACGGGCUUGACAAGGGCUCUUGUGAGUCAAAGUGUUAGGACUUUUGGCCUCGCACUGGAAUGCAGGGAGGCCCUCAUUGACUUCCAGACGAGGACCACUGCCUCAGAGAGGAAGACACCUCCUUUGCAGAGGAGCUGAAGGCAGCUAGGGCCCAAAAACUUGAAGAAUCGGCCAAGUUGGAGUCUGGCUUGGCUCAGAUAGAGGCAUUGAAGAGGGAGGUACAUAUGUCCCAGUGUGAGGUUGCCUCAUUGACUAAAAAGGUGGAGGUUUCCAAUGAUCACCAGAAGGUGACCGCCGAAGCCUUGGAAAAGGCAAACUUGGCAUUGGCAUCAUCCCAAGAGGCGUACCAGUUCUUGGAAGGCCAAAUUAAAUGGUAUGUGGAUGAUGCCACAAGGCAAGGGAGGAGGUCCAAGAGGCAAAAGAAGAGGCGGUGAAGGACUAUAUUGCCAACUUUCAUAACACCGAGGAGUACAAGAGCUUCAAUAUUUACUGGAAGAACUUUGCUUAUGCCGAGGUAAAGGAGCGAGCUGAGGAGUUGUAUCCCAAUUAGGACCUGUCACAACUCAGGUCGGAGUUUGUGGACGAAGUGCCUCAAACCCCAGCUGAUGAAGAGGUGGGAGAUGAAGUAGCAGAGGUAGAAGAAGUAAACUUUGAUGCUCAAGCUGCGGAAGUCCCAACUAUUGAAGCACCUCCAUCAUAUUCUCAGGCCUAGAAUAGUUUUCUUUUCAGUUAUUCUUGAUGUACUGGCCUCAGGCCCCCCUUUUAUAAUCUCAAUUGAAAAUCAAUAUAAUAUGUUUUUCAUUCAAUGUUGUUUCUUUCUCUCAAGUGUAUUGGCCUCGUUAAGUAAUUGAACGUAAUGUUGAUUGAAGAACUAAAUAACUUUAAUUGGGUAUCCAAACUCCAAUCACUUGAACAAAUAAAUUGUAUGCAAGCCUCAUGAGUUAUGACCAAUAUAGGACUUAAGCAAAUGAAUUGUACUUAAGCUUAAUAACUGUAACCUAAAGGGAUCCUAAGAAUGGACCGUGUUGCAGUCGAACCUGAAGUGUAUGAGCCUUGGAGAUCAAGCAAGGUGGCCCAGAGAUGGGACCCUGGCCUCUCUUCCGAGGUGACGACGCUUCCCAACAUGGUGGAUGGUACAGCCAUGUUGAGGCUUCUCCCCUUGGCGUUCAGCCUAGCCAAAGGGAGGCAUGUGCAUGUGUCUUGGAGUUCAAGCGAAGUGGCCCAGAGAUGGGACCCUGGCCUCUCCUCCGAGGUGACGACGCUUCCCAACAUGGUGGAUGAUGCAGCCAUGUUGAGGCUUCUCCCCUUGGCGUUCAGCCUCGUCAAAGGGAGGCAAAUGCAUGUGCCUCAGAGUUCAAGCGUGGUGGCCCAGAGAUGAGACACUGGCCUCUCCUCCGAGGUGACGACGCUUCCCAACAUGGUGGAUGGUGCAGCCAUGUUGAGGCUUCUUCCCUUGGCAUUCAGCAUCGUCAAAGGGAGGCAUGUACAUGAGCCUCGGAGUUUAAGUGAGGUGGCCCAGAGUUGGACCUUGGCCUCUCUUCCGAGGCGAGGAAGUAAUGCAACAUGUUAAUUUAAUCAUAGAAUUUUAUUGAACCAUAGAAAUGUAACAUGAGCUGGGAAAGAUCGUCCAACGAUGUGGUACAUUCAUUGGUCAUAGAUUCUGAGGUGCUCGAUGUUCCAUGGACAGGGUUGUGCCUUGUCGUUCAUGUCUUCAAUCCAGUAAGUCCCAGGCCAGAUCUCUUCUCUGAUUUUAUAUGGGCUUUCCAAGUUCGGACCCAGGGAAUCGGAACCAAGUUCCUUUGAGAAGAGGAAGACUCUCCUUAGGACCAAGUCGUUGAUUCGGAAUGAUCUCUUCUUUACCUUUGAGUUGAAGUACUUCGUCAUCUUCCUUUAAUGUGUGCCGAGCUUCAUCUGGGAGUCAUCUCUUCUUUCUUCAAUGAAGUCAAGGUCAUACCUCCGAAGCUAGUCGUUUGUCAUCUCACUAAAAUGCAGACGUCUUGGAGACAGGAGUCCGACCUCAAUGGGGCUCAUCGCCUCAGUACCAUAUGCCAUAAGGAAGGGUGUCUCCUCGGUUGGGGUCCUCGUGGUGGUUCGGAUUGUCCAAAGUACUUGUGGCAGCUCAUCCACCCAAGCCCCUUUUGACACAUCAAGCUUCCUUUUCAGGAUGUGUUUGAUUGUUGUUGACAGCCUCAACUUGGCCAUUUGCUUGUGGGUGGUGAGGCGUGGAGAAAUGCUUCUUGAUGCUGAGUUCUUCGCAUAGUGCUCUGACCUUCUUGUUGUCGAAUUGUCUACCAUUGUCUGAGACGAUUGAGUAGGAAAUCUCGAACCGGCAUAUAAUAUUCUUCCACAAGAACUUGGAAGUGUUGGCUUCUGUGAUUUUUGCCUGUAGUUCAGCCUCAACCCAUUUUGUAAAGUAAUCAAUGGCCACAAUUGCAAAGCUUGCAUCUCCUCUACCUUCAGGCAGGGACCUAUGAGGUCCAUACCCCAUUUCGAGAAAGUCCAAGGGCUGGAGACCGCGGUAAAAUCCUAUGACGAUUGUCUUUGUACCGAAGAGAAUCGUUGGCAUUUGUCACACUUUCGUACAAACUCGAAGGCAUCCCUUUUCAAGGUAGGCCAGUAGUACCCUUGCCUCAAUAUCUUUUGUGCCAAAGAUAGACCUCCAGAGUGAUUUCCGCACACGCCCUCAUGGAUUUCUCUUAAUAUGUAAAUAACCUCUUCUCCUCCAACGCAUCGUAAGAGUGGGGAGGAGAAGCUCCUCUUAUAGAGAACAUCAUCAACCAAGAGGAAGUGGGCUGACCUCAUAAUUAGCUUGUAGGCCUCAUGCUUGUUAGUGGGAAGUAUCUGGUCUUUGAGGUAUGCUACGAUUGGCUACAUCUAGGUAGGAGUCCCAGCAACCCACAUUACAUUGGGGACCUCGGUUGACGGCAGGAGGAGAUACUCUAGAGGUACUACUGUGAGUAGUUCUGAAUCCUUGCUACUAGUGAGCUUGGAGAGUGCAUCCGCAUGAGAAUUUUCGAUGCGAGGAAUCAGGGUUAGUUCAAACUUUUCAAAGGAUGGGAUGAGGUUCAUCACCACUUUUAAGUAGGAGGCCAUCGUUUUGUCCUUGACUGAGAAGUUACCAUUUACUUGGCUAACAAUUAGCUGGGAGUCACUGUUGAUGAGUAGUCUCUUUGCUUUCAUUUCCUUGGCCAGCCUGAGGCCUGCGAGAAGUGCCUCAUAUUUUGCUACGUUGUUGGUGGCUUUAAACCCGAACCUCACCCCUGAGUUCAGUUUGUGACCUUCAGGGCUUAUGAGGACAACUUUAGCAUUUAAGCCGGCAUUCCCAGCCGACCUAUCGACGAAUAAGUUCCACGUAGGGGGCUCGACGUGUUCCAUGAUUUCAUCUACCUCGGGUAAAUUGGCAAAUUUUACCACAAAGUCAACCAAGACUUGACCCUUGAUGGCUGCCCUAGCCUUGAACAUGAGGUCAAAUUCACUUAGCUCCACUGCCUACUUCAAUAAUCUUCCUGAGGCAUCAGGCUUUUGGAGUACCUGCCUUAGGGGAAAGCUUGUUAGCACAUGGAUGGUAUGAGCUUGGAAGUAGGGUCUCAAUUUCCUGGAGGCCGUGAUCAAGGCCAAAGCGAGCUUCUCCAUAUCGGGGUAAUGAAUUUUCGACGAUAAGAGUGCUUUACUUGUAUAGUAAACGAGGAGUUGGGUGGUCCCCUCUUCUUGGGUUAGAACCGAACUGAUGGCCUCAUUGGAGACGGCCAAAUAUAGCUGUAGGAUCUCACUGGGCUUCGAUUUGGAAAGGAGGGGACCUGCCCCAGGUGCCUUUUCAGGCCUCUUCACAUUUCUCGUUCCAUUGGAAAUUUUUCCCAGCUUUCAUCACUUUGAAAAAUGGAAGGCAUUUGUCUGUAGCUUUGGAGACGAAGUGGCUAAGUACGGCCACUCGUCCAGUCAAACUUUGCACCUCUUUUGGCUUUUGGGGGGACCUCAUCUUGUGUAGGGCCUCAAUCUUCUUAGGGUUGGCUUUAAUUCCACAUUGAUUGACCAUGUAACCUAAGAAUUUACUGGAGGCCACUCCGAAGGCGCACUUGAGGAGGUUGAACCUCAUCCUAUAUCUUCUCAAGAUUUAGAAGGUGUUGUUGAGGUGCGUUAUGUGGUCCUUAGCCUCCAAACUCUUUACCAACAUGUCAUCCACAUAUACCUCAAUUGUCUUGCCGAUGAGGUCCAUAAACAUUUUGUUGACAAGCCUUUGGUAAGUUGCUCCGGCAUUUUUCAAUCCGAAAGGCAUCAUCCUAUAACAAUAAAGGCCUCGGUCUGUGAUGAAAGAGGUGUGCUCCUCAUCGGCCGGGUGCAUGGGUAUUUGGUUGUAGCCAGAGUAUGCGUCCAUAAAGCUCAACCACUCGUGUCCAGCCAUGGAGUCUACUAGUUGUUCAAUCCUUGGGAGUUAAAAGCUGUCUUUCGGGCAAGCUCUGUUGAGGUUGGUGAAAUCGAUGCACACCAUCCACUUGCCAUUGUGUUUCUUCACUAAAACCGGGUUGGAGACCUACCUAGGAUAGGUAGCCUCCCGAAUAAAGAUGUUUUAGAUGAGCUUCUGAACCUCUUCCUUCAGAGCCUCGUACCUCUCAGGAUUGAGGGCUCUCCUUUUUUGUCUGUGCAAGGCAACCUUAGGAUCGACUUUCAAGUGGUGGCAACUGACUUUGGGGUUUAUGCCUACCAUGUUCUCAUGCCUCCAAGCAAAGAUAUCAAGGUUCCUACUUAGGAAAUCCUUAAUCUUUUCCUUCAAGAUGUUGGAUAAGCCAUUGGCUACUUUCAGCACCUUGGAUGGGUUUGGGGUCUACCGAGAAGCUCUCAAGUUCCUCAAUUGGGGAUGCUUGGGGGGUUCGUGUUCAGUUAUGCGGGGAUCGAUCUCAUCAAUGAUCGAUACCUCCGGAUUGGGUGGUGCAUCAAUCAUAUCGAUAUCUUCUGGUUCAGUGGGAGCAUCGCCUGGGACAUCAGCCAUGACUAUAUCGGCUAUGAUUACAUGGACGUCCCGGGGCUCUACCUUUUUGAUGGAGUUUAGAUAACACUCUCUCGAUCCUCUUUGGUCGCCUCUCACCGUUGCCACCCCAUUUUUCGUCGGGAAUUUCAUGCAAAGGUGGUGGAUGGAAGUGACUGCUCCCAAUUCCUUUAGGGCUAGCCUCCCUAAUACUCCGUGGUAGGCCGAUCUACUGUCGACAAUGAGGAACUCCAUGAAGUUCAUCGUAGUUUGGGGAGACUCUCCCAUCUCCACUGCAAGUGUUAUCUUUCCCCUUGGAGUGAUGCUAUCUCUGGUGAAUCCGUACAAAGGAGUUGUGGUAGGUGUCAACUGAUGAUCCAAUAUCAUCUUGUCAAAGGCGGAUUCGAAUAGAAUGUUGACAGAGCUACCGUUGUCAACUAACAUUCGCUUGAGCCCAUUUUGAGCUAUGACGACUCUCACAACAAGUGCAUCGUAGUGGGGGUAGUGAACUCCUUCGACGUCUUCCUAGGUGAAGACAAUGGGUGGAACUUGGAUCCUCCGAGAGUUGCUAUCCACAAUAUAGCUUGCCAAGGAACUAAACAUAAAAAUGGAAAAUUAUUAACUUUAGGACAUAAAACUCCUAUCACUCUUAUCCUUUUCUCCCUCUCUCUCUCAUAAUUUAUUUCUCCACUAAAAAUUUUAAAAUCAGCUAACUUUUUAUAUGUAUAUUUCAAUAGAGAUAAAAACUCUCUCAUUUUUCAUCUGCUUCAACCUCAAAGUUUCAGAACUUUAUCGAACACUAAACAAUGAAAUAUUUUUUUAUAUAAAUAACUUCGAAUUGGUAAGUAUAUUUGCGUAUGUUUAAUUUAGUUUUCGUUAAAUUAGUAUACAUUUUAAUCGAUAAAUUUUCUUUCGACAUAGAUUAACAUGUUUUUAACAGAUCUAUAAUUUUUUAAGUAUGAAUAAGAAAAAAUUCAUUUGCAUCUACAUUCUUUCGGACGAAAUCCAUGAAAACGUUUUUGAACAGACUUAACAGUCUCCAAACAACCAGAAGGAUGUUAAAAUAGCCGGCGAUUAUCGCCAGCUAUUUAAUAGUCAGUAGUUAUAGCGGUCUAUUUACCCCGUUGUUUGCCUGUUUUAGUACUGUUGCCCCAGAUUAAUCGAUUUUCCUACUAAUUUUCCUUAUAAUUAAAAAUUCUAUUUCAUCAUGCAAAUAUGAUUGUAAUUCCGGUUUGUUAUUUUGGUGAUUUUGAAUUGGAUGAAAAAAGAUUGAUGGGUAAGGAAAUUGACGAGUUAUAAACGUAGCAGUAUUCUAAUUUCCAUAACAUCGAGUACAUCAUAUGCAGGAAUGUACUAUGACCUACAAAAUAAUUUGAACGUCGAUCCCUCUUCAUACGAUAUGGAAUUGAUAUUUCAAUUCAACAAGCAUUUAUUCAUUCUAAUUCCACUUAUGAAGAUUGCUUUUAAUAUUGAAGUAAAUUAUCUAUCUGAAUUGAACAAAUGCACACGAUUCCUCUUUGCGUGACUUUAGUAAGGAAGAAUGAUGCCGAUGGUGAAGACGAAGAUUCGAAUGGAAGGGAUCACAAUGCCAAUAAUUUUUGUGACGCAAUGGAGAUAGCUCGUAAAGAUGAUGUAGAUAUUCCAAAGAAAGUUGUUCCUCAUCGUGAUCUCAUUGUUACGCAUAGAAUUUCCUUAGUAGUUUAUAACAACGUGAAUGAAAAUAAAUUUAAAAAUAAGAAUUUGAUUGUUUUAUCCUAUUAGAGACAUGACCGUCUUCUAACUCCUUGUGUGAGGUCCCGAUGAUGAUGAUUUUAUGUUGAGCAAUUAUUUGAAACAAGAAAGAUUUGCAAGAAAUUGUGCACCAAAUUGCACUAAAAUAUAACAUUGAGUUCAAAGUGAAAAAUCAAAAACAAGUCAUUGUUGACGAUAGUUUACGUUGACAGUUGUCGUUGGCAUUUGCAAGCAACGAAGAUGGGCAUAAAUAAGUUACUUGUAGUUUGAAAAUAUACACACGAACAUACUUGAGAAGUGAGAAUUUCGUCGAAAUGAUCACAAACAAGCCUCGAGCAGAUAAUGCACAAGUUAUGAGACCCACGACUAUCUAUAAACCUCAAACAUUAUUAACGAUGUUCUUCGAGAGUACGGAGUGGUCUUAAGUUACCAGAAAACCUGAAAGGCCAAAGAAUGCAUGUUCGAGGAUUUAUUGGGCUUGAUCGAGAAGAGCUAUGCUAAAUUGACCCAAACUUUGUCCGGUAAGACACCACAUAUUGUACUAUGUGUUAAGCAGUACCCUUUUUUAGGUAUGAGACUCAGGUAUUGCCAUAACUUGGAAACAACUAAUCCUGCUUCGACAUUUUUUUAGAUGGAAGGCGAUAUUGCUUUUAAGUUUUUUCAUAGCUUUUGGAUAAUGCAUUAGGGGUUUUCAAUCGACCAACAUGUCCAACAACUAUAUCUUUACAGAUAAUCGCAAAGGCAACUAUAUAGGUGUGUGGACAACUUCUCGAACCGAGACUAGACUAAAUCGAGGACACAGUAGGAAAACAAAUAGCUAGCAAGUGUUAAUGUCCCUCAACCUAAUAUUUAUUGGUCCGUGAUCUAGGGCAUGUUUAAAUAUUAGUCGAUAGACAAGAUAAAUGUGGCACUCUCAUCCUUUGAGAUAACAUUUGUAAUUUUGAUUAGAUUAUCAAUAUAUCGCUAUUCUCAUUACAUUAAUAUGUUGUCACAAUGAUUAUUGAAGUUAUUUUAAACACUUCUUCAACUAUUUUACAAUGCUAUGCCCAACAGCUGCAUGAUCUUGACUCUACACUCCAAAAAAAAAAAAAAAAAAAAAUCAUAUUAAUCUAUCUAAAAUGUUACUAAUCAUAAUCAUGGGCUUUCAUUUCUACAAUCAGCUGAAAAUCUUGAUCGUGUCAACUAAUGCCUAACAUUUUUUACAAUAACUUGACGCAUUAUUAUGACAUUCAACUAUUUAUAAAAGUUGUUGUUAUGACAAUACUAUAUUAUUCCUAUCAAAUAAUCUCGUUAUCAUCACAAUGCAUCAUACGCACACAGGGACGUACCCAUCAUUCAAUCUCAAUAGGGUCAUAAUUCAGCUAAAAAAAUUUAUUUUUAUUUUUUUACCAAAUAAGACAAAAAUGUAAUAUUAAAUCUAAUACCUACAAUUAUUCCUUAUUGGAUUCAUACUUUUAAUAUGUCAUAAUAUCUUUAUUAUAAAUUCAUUUAGUACAUGUUUUCAAUAUACAUAAUGAAACUGUCAAUUCCCUAUUGCUCGAUUUCUUUACGAUCUUUUAAGUUUAUCGAAUUACAUAAAUGUACUUAUCUAGGAUUCAAGCUACAUAGUCAAGCUCAAAUUAAUAUUUAUUCCUUUUUAAUCAUGUUCAAAUUUUUUUCAUGCAAAACAAUACCUAGAACUAAGGCAUGGAGAAUAUUUUAUUGUAACACUCUAGUCAAACGAGUAAAAUAAAAUAAAUUUAGUAUAAGAGAUUGAAAGUAAACAUUUGCCAAGUAGUGACAACUAAUAAGGGGUGAAAGAAAAAUAGAAAGUGAAACUAAGUGAACAUGUUUUUCUAAUUAAGAUAAACUUAUAAUGAGAGAAAGUAGAGAGAAUAAGAAACAAACAAAAAAUAACGAAGAGAAAGCCAAAAAAAAGUUCCAAAGAAGAAAAGAACAUAGAGAAAUAAGAAGCUGAAAAGGGGAAGAGAGAAGACAUCAUUAUAAACUUUGUCCUGCCUUCAUUUUAGUUGUUAAUUAUAACAAUAGCACAUCUCGUGUUGUGGGGUCGUUAUAACAAGAGAAAAGGACAAGAUGCAUACACCUUGGACUUUAGAUUACAAACAACGGAGGGAUUGAAAGGCCUUACCUCAAAUGCAUUUUCAUCUUUCAAAUAAUAUUAUUCAAGAAGUUUUAAAGAAGUCAACCGCUGCAUUAUGAUUAAAAUUUGGGCAAUUAUGCACAAUGAAGAGUCUUACUAGCAAAUUUUAUUUAAACAACAUCUAUAUUUUCAUCAUAUGGCAGAAAAUACAUCUUUAAAGAUCAUCUAAUUGCUUUUAAGGAAAGCAUCGCUAACUUGGAGAGUUUGGAGGUAAAAUACGAUGAAAUAGAUUUGAGAUUAAUUUUAUUGUGUUCAUUGGCCGCUUCAUACAUGUCUUUUAGAGACGAUUUUAUAUAAUCAUGAUAUCCUCACCAUCCAAAAAGUCUAUGAUGUUCUAUAUUCAAAGGAGAAGAUGAAGCAUUUCAUAGCAUCUGAAGGUCAUAGAGAUGGCCUCAUUGUUGAUGGUGGUUGUUUAAAGGGCAGGUCAAAAUCUAAUUUCAAAUUUUGUAGUUAUUGCAAGAAAAAAUGGGCACUUAAUUCUUGGUACAGCUUGCAUUUUUCUUAUGUAUCUCAAUAGGGAUUUGCUUUCAAUAUAUAAAGAAGUUUCAAAAGAUGUUGUGAAGAUCGAUAAUGAUACACCUUGUCGGAUAGCUAGUAUUGGCUGAGUCAGAAUAAAAAUAUUUAAUGGAACAGUUAGAACAUUUGUGAUGAGAUAAGUUCUAGAUCUAAAGAAAAAUCUUAUCUUCUUAAGUACUUUUGAUUCAAAAGGGCACAUGUUUACUGUUGAAGCUGGAGUCAUGGAGUUUAGUAAACGAACCUGCAUCUUCACAAAAAGGACAGAAAAUCUCAUUCUAGUCAAGAAUUUUCUUUUGAUGCAUUCAGUUUUGAUGAUUUUGUUACAGGGCUUAUUUCGGCAUUGUUUGAUGAUCAUUAGAUCACUUUUGCCCUAUUUGGGGUGGCAGAGGUGGAGACUACUUCAUUGGAAAUUUUUAUGUAAAAGUUUGUGAUUUUCAUUGAAGAGUUUAAGUUUAUUCAUUGUAAUGGAAUUUGUCUCUAGGUUGAGAAUCUUUGAAAUUUUUCAUUACAUUGGAAUUCAUGUGUGCUCAAAUUCUACUUUGAAGGUAAUUUGGAGCUCUAACCAAAGUCAACUUAAGAAGAAAUCCUUUUGGAAUGCAAUUUUGAAUCAUAUUCGAAAUCUAUUUGACAAAUCCUAGUUGAAGUUCUAUUUGAAUGUCCAAUUGGGAGUUAGAAAUUUGUUUUAAACUUAAAGAGAUUAAGAUAUGGACAAGAAAGAUUUUGGGAGCAAAAGAGUCAAGAAAAUUUUACCUGGAUAUAGCGUGCCCAUUGCCAACAAAUAGCGCCCUAGUGGUGCCCGCCUGGUGAUCUCCUACAACUCGAGCGGCACCACGGCAAGAUGGUCGCUCGCUUGGCGCUGGGUGGCGCGCUUACUCAGUCUUGUUUGGUUUUGCAUUUUGACGUGAUUUUGACAUUCUAUUUCAUCUAUAACUCUACUUUUGGGAUAUAAAAUGUACCCUAUAUAUUAAUCCGGUAUCAUCUUUGUUUCACAAUAUUAUCAAUUUACAGCACCAUAAAAUCAAUGCUCUCGUCAUUAGAUCAACACAUAUUACAAUUAAGUUCAAGUCUAAGGUAUUAACACACGUGUACUAAUUACGCUUGUACAUUCAACUACGAAUAUAUUCUUGUCAAAUAAAUUAAACCAAACAGUGAUAAAUAAUUUCUUUACUUAAAUUUUAAAUUUAUUGAAAAUAAAACAUAAUUUAUGCACUCAUUAAUAAUGCAAAUCUAAUAAUUAAAACUAUUCAUAAUUAGAAACACAGAUUUGAUGAUUUUUGAGUUUAAGUUUAACCAAUACUAACUACCAACCAAAAAUAAGCGAUUAAAGAAAACAAGUCUUAUAAUUUAAUCAAGUCACAAAAAGUAUUAGGAUUUUGAAUCCACCAGUGUUAUCCCACUUUAAUUAUCAAUUAAUACUUGUUAUUAGCCAUUUCUUAUAGACUAAUGUCAUCUAGCUCCAGUGGUGUUAGCACACCAAUCUAUGUAUGUGAUAUUUAGUGCAUGUUAAUUUUUUAUCUCGAGAUAAAUUAAUCUGCUUUUUAUUUGCAAUCGAACUACAUCUUUAUGAAUGAUGCAAAUGGAUAAAAAUUAUAAGAUAACACUAGAAUAUCAAUUAAGAUUGUAGUAAGUACACAUCUAUCCCUUAUUUGACCUAUAAGAGUGUUUGUUAAUUGAUCCAAAAAUAUGGAUUACCUCUCGAUAUUACGAAUCCUAAAACUAUCUUCAAACUAACAGGAUAAUAGGAUGUCAACAUUAGCAAAUAAUCAAUCAACAACAUUUAAAAUUAAAAAGAAUUAUUUGAUCAAAGAGUUUACCACUUAUCAAUGUUCCAUCAUUGACCAUAGAACCUAACGCAAGAAAUGACCCAAAUAAGAGGAGGGGUUGAGGUCCAGCUAAACGUCUUCGACUGGAACCUGGCUCAAAGCUUGAAGUAGAGUUUAAUAAACAUAUGCAGCCUGUGGUGAAAAUUUAAAUCAAUUCGGGACAUUUCUGGGAACACUGGUGCAAUGGGGCACAAUAUUUACCACUUGUACAUGAAAGGGAAAAACUGUCCUGGCGAGAUGCUGGAUUUUGCCUUGAAAGAAGUAGAGGUAUAUAAAUGAUUCAUAGCUGGUACUGAUAUUUUUAUGUGAAUACUAUGCAUUUCAUCAUGUCAAGGAAUGUUCAAUUUUCUCUUGUUUUAUACAAUCUUUUAAUACACUAUUUAGUCGUUUUACGUUUACAACAAUUUCACAGGCAAAUACCGAUGUUCCACUUGUUGGGAAUCUACUUAACAUGUGUAGCGGAAAUUUAAAACAAUUUUCGAUUCCCACUAAGAAUCGUCUUUGUGUUUAAAUAGAAACUGUGAUAAAGAUUAUACGUUUUACGAGAUCUACAAACUCCUUUGCUUUUCCCUUGUUUCAGCAACUUGGAUCUGUCUCUCACACCUGUCCAAUUGUCCAGCCUCCAAUGGUGAUCCACACAGAGAACAAGAUUGUAAGAUUAGAAUUUUCUUCUUGUACUAGUAAGAAUAAUGAAUUCUCUACAAAAUUGUAAACUCUAAUCAGUUAUUUAUAUAAGUCCAAAUGGAUGUGGCCUGACCCGGUCCAAUAUUUAAUUAAUCCAUUUAAUUAAAUUCGGUCCGUGAAUUAAUUAAUCUAAUUAAUUAAUUCGGGUCUAUAAAUAAUCAACCCAAUUAAUUAAUUUAUCCAAAUAUUGCUAAAUUAAUUAAUUAAUUGACAAAUUGCAAUAUUCCAAUUCUCUUUUGUAUGCGACCCAUCAGGUUCUCGAUCACAAAUGCCUAAGGAUGUAAAAUAUUAUUUUGAUCUAAUCAAAAUUGAUAAAUUAAAACACCCUUUUAAUUUAUUACAAAUUCACACUCGCCGUCCCAGAUUGACAUCUAGCAAUGUGUCAGGACAAUACAUGUGACGGGAAAUGUCAUGUGGUAUGACAAAACCAAACUCGUUCGUUUACUGUGAAACUAUAAUCCAUUCGUCAAUAUGAUCCGCUCAAUUACGAGACAUAGAAGUGUGUCAAUCCCGAUUAUCUAUCAUAUCUUUCACUCCACUAUUAAAUCAAUAUAAGUUGAAAACUUCUUUUCGACUUAUGAGAACACCUUGAACAAGGAUUUCAUUAUCAAAAGGAUUUCAUUAUCAACUUAAUUAAAUGAAACGUAGAUCAUAAUCUCUUACUAUCUAAGUGUGACGAAUCCUCUAUUGAUCAUUCACAACCUUCAUAUGUUUCUUGACAUACCCAAACAAUGUCAUAUUAGCGGCCCUUGGCAAAGCAACAUCCAACACCGUCAAAGCAUGACCGACCUCAAGUCAAAAGGACCAAUCCCACUACCGGACGUUAGAGAUUAGCCACUGACACUCAAAUAAUUAUCCAUGUUGAAUCUCUAGGUAGGUCUCCAAUGUUUUGUUCUAUAACAAAAUAUCCACGUAUUCAUUCAAGUGUCACCACACUUUAGCUUGUAAAAUCAGCUACUUACUUUACAAGUAAGAAAUGCCACACAUGAUGGUCUAUCUGUAAUAACGAUAUCCGUAUCUCAUUAUUACUUACGACCACGGACAAUUUAAGAUUCAAUCAUAUGUAAUUUGUAUCUCACAAUCACAACUCUUUGUCAUUAACAAAUUACGAAAAUUUGAAUCUACGGACUCUAUUAUUUAAUUUAAUUGUCAAUUAAUUAAAUAAUAGAUAUGUCAUUAAAUCGCAUUAAUUAUAUAUUAAAAGAAUUUAUUUCCAAGGUUGAUUGGACUUAGGGCACAAUACUUACAAACUCCUACUUACUUUAGAUCCAAUCAUUUAUGUAUCCAAUAUCAUAAAAGUCUACAUAACGAUCAUGUUUAUGUUACGACAACUCUUUGUCAGUGAAUCUGCAAUAUUGUCAAAUGUGAGAAUUCGGUCUUCUCUUUAGUCACUUUUAUGUAUUGUCUCUCUAAUGAGAUUAUACCAUCUUAAUGCAUGUUUGGAUCAUUGAUGAGACCUUAAUUUCUUCGCUUUCGCAAUGGCUCUAUUGUCAUCAUAAUACAAUGGCAUGCGAUCAACAAUAUUAGAAACUACUCCAAGUUAAUUAAUGAACAUCUUGAUCCACAUUACAACUCUUUGCAGCUUCUGAAGCAAUCAUGUAUUAGGUUUCCGCUAUUGAAUCAAUGAUUGUUUCAUGUUUGGAACCUUUCCAACACACCGUUUAAGAGUAAACCAAUUUAUCCAUAUAAAAUCUUCUCAAAAUUUUAUCUAUGUAAAUUGGGAUAAGUUAAGCAAUCCCCUGGAUCUAUCUCUGUAGAUCAAGUUGCUUCUCUUAUAUCGUUUAUGAAUAAAUCUUUUAACACCCAUUAUUUCAACGAUUGAAACAUAGGGAUGUCAUUUCCUAUAAUAUUAGGAAUGCGACAAUGCUCCCACUAUCUUCUUGUAAACACAUAAUUCGUCUUCAUAUUUGAUAAAAUCAAACAUUUUGAUUUUUUCAUCAAAUCAAAGAUUUCAGCUCCAAGAGACUUGUUUUAACCCAUAGUCACGAUAUGCAACUAUUGCAACCAUAAUCCAAAUGGACCUCUACAUGGCUAUAGGCGAUAGGUUUCAUCAAAGUCAACACAUUGUCUUUGUUUGUUACCUUUUACUACUAGCCUUACUUUGUAUAUAUGAAUAUUCCUAUCCAUGUCAACAUUUUAUUGUUAACCAUUUACGAACUCUGGGUUUUAUCCCAUUAAGAGGGUCGACCAAGGUCCAAACCUUGUUCGCAUACGUUAAGUUCAUUUCGGGUAUUAUGGCCUCUUGCUAUCUCUUUUAAGUCAACACUUGACUUUGUUUAUGUGAAAUUAGUACGUUCAUCACCCUGUAUCAGUAAUGCCUGAUUAAUAAUCAUAGAUUCCCAUCUUCUUGAAGGUCAAAUGAUCCUACUAGAUUCACAUAGAGUUGAUAUGUCCUCAGGAGUCUCUACGUCCUGAUCAAGAGUAUGCCCUACAUUAGAUAUGGGAUCAAACUCGGAUUCAUUUACUUAGUUAACUAUAUCUAUGGACUCUUAAACUCUUUCAAGUUCUAUUUUGAUCCCACUGUCCUCUUCUAGAGUAAACAUUUUUUCUAAGAAGACGAUAUAUCGUUAGACGAAGACUUUCUUCUCAAUAGGAUAAUAAAAUUGAUAUCCGAAUAUUUGUUUUGGAUAUCCCACAAGUAGUAUUCAUUGGAUAUAUAUACUCAAGUUUAUCUGAUUCAAUGCAUUUCAAAUAAACGUUACAAUCCCAAACUUUCAUAUGAGAUAAGUUGGGAUUAUUGCCUUUCCAUUACUUGUACGGAAUUUUGUUAACCAAUUUAGAUGUGACAUGAUUUAGUGUGUUGUACACUGCAAUUAGUAUAUGACCCGAAAAACGAUUUCGGGAGAUUUGCAUGGCUUGCUAUUAAUCACACUACAUCUAAUAGUUAACAAUUCAUCUUUUCAGAUGUACCACUGCUGUAGUGUAUAUGGAGGAGUUCACUGCAAGAGAAUCCCAUUCUCUCUUAGAUAAUCCAAAUUUUAAUCUUUAAGAUAUUCCCAUCUCGAUUGGAUCUUGAUGUAUGAAUAUCUUUACCUAUUUCUUUCUCUACUUCUAGUUUGAAUCCUUUGAACUUUUUCAUCAAGUAUGCAUGAUCAUUGAUGAAAUAAGAGAAACUUUAUCUAGCAUUAAUUGACAUAGGUCUACAUAUAUCAUUUAUGUAUUAGACCAAUAAUCGUGCAGAUAUUUCUCCAUUUCAAGUAAAAGGAGAUUUGGUCAUUGUGCCUAACAGGCAUGAUUUGCACUUGUCAAAUGAUUCAAAAUCAAUUGAUUCCACGUAUAUAUCUCUAUGUAAUUUUAGAAUUGUAUUUCAUCUACAUGACCACGUCUGCAAUGCCAAAUUUGGGUAUUAUUCAGAUUAUUACUUUUAUGUCUCUUAAUUUCUAUACUCAUUAUAGAAUGCUUUAGUAUUUAGAAUAUAAAUUUUAUUUUUAUAACUUACCAUAACCAUCAAGAUCUUAAUCAAGAUAAGCAGGAACAACAAUUGUCCUUAGCAUUAAAAUAGUUCAUGUCUAAACAUGAAAUUCAUUUUAAUGUUCCAACUAUGGUGGGUACAAAGUAACAUUUCUCUAAUUCCAAUACUAAGCCAAAAGGCAACAGCGAGAAGUAUGCUCCUACAAGCAAUGCAGCAACAUUUGCUCAUCUUUAACAUGUAGGUCAACUUCUCCUUUUCACAGUGGUCUAAUUUUAUUUAGUUUCUCCAUAUUUGUAUAAAUAUGAAAUCUACAUGUGGUAUCAAAUACUUAAGAAACUCGUGAAGUAGAAGUAAGCCAUGCAAUAUCUUCUAAUGACCUUUCAUUCUAUAAUGAAAGCAAGGGUCAUUAGAUUUGAUAUUUGUCAUUUUCUUUGACCCUCUAAGCCAUAUUAGAUGCUUUCCCAAAGUCUCUUUAAACUUCCUCUUAAUAUGCUUACCCACUACUAAAUUUGAUAUUGGGCUCAACAGUCUUAAACAUGUUCAGCAACUUAAUGUGUGUGCAUUCGAGUUUAUUUAUAUUAUAAUUCAUGAAUAACUCUCUGACAGAGAUUGCAAAGCUAAGUCAAUACUUAGUUCAUAGUUCAUUACUGAACCUCAUUAAGAUAAUUCUCAAUGUCAAUCAUCUUCAGUGUCUAAGCAUCGACUGAAGAUUACUCUAUCAUUUUGCAUCGGUAUAGUUGCUUGGAAGUCUCAUAUCCUUCAACACAUGAUUAUUAUCAUACAACUCUUUGAAAUGAAAAAUCAUGCGUCAGCAUCUGUACUCUCAAGUUGCUUUUGUAACUCAGAUGACAUAGUUGCAAGCAUCACAUAUGUGCAGUACUAUCGUUAUCACUGUGUUUAUAACAGUAACCACAUCUUCCUUAAUUGAAUCAUCAGCGGGUGUCUCUAGAAAGGGCUACUCAAGGACGUAACCAAUUUUCUCAUGCCUGAGAACAAUUCUCGAGUUGUGAUGCUAAUCAAAAAAAUUUAAUUUGGUUGUUGGCAUCCAGUAUGUCAUUCAAAACAUAUGGUUACUCAAAAUUCAAUAUAAAUGUAAAUGAUGAAAAGAAAAGAAUAAUAUAUAAAAAUGCAUCAAUUAAUUUAAUAUGGACUUUUAUUAAAUUGAUUAUGCUCCCAUUGUUUAACUAAAAUUUAUGACCAUCUUACAUAAAUUUAUGGAGUCUAUACUUGACUCCCAGUGGACUGCCAUCCCGUCUGUUAUAUUAAGAUAUUGAGUGUACUCAACAAGCUUUAAUAAAAUAUCUGGGUAGAUACUGUUAUCAAUUGUAUCUCCAUGCAAAUCCGAAAUCAUUUAGCUGACAGCUCUUUGUCUUUACACAUCUUAUGUGUUAGCUUAAUAUGCCUCUAAAAUUUAUCUCCUUGUGUGUACUCAACAAAAGAUAAAUUUUAAUUAAGUUAAACCCGUCAUUCAGAAACAUAAAACAUUUCAUAGUGUCAAAUGUAUCCCUAAUAAACCAGCCUUGAGUGUACUCAACACGUUGAGACGAUUUGGGAUUUUGAUUUUCACUAUAAUGAUGGAAGACGAUUAUAAAUGUGACUUAAUUUUUUAUUGAGAGGUUUUGUAUUCAAAAGUCUCAUCGUAACAAUCAUAUAUGUUUUGUUAUACAUCUACCAUGCAAAUAAACUAUAUAUAUAUAGACGAUUAUGGACUUUUAUUAUCUAGUCUUCCCAAGCCAUGAGCAAUACUAGUUGGUCAAUUCCUAGGGGGUAUUGCAUUGACGCAUACAAUGCUCCAUCUCCAUACCCUCAUUCUCUUCUUAUUUUUUCAAUUAGUCCAUCUGCAAUAUGUAUCCUAUACUAGUUGGCACGUAAGCCUAAAUGAAAUUGGAUUCCCAUACCCACAAUAAUAAUAGACUCGUAGGUCUAAAACAAUUAAGAGCUUGCAUGCCCACAAAAUGACAAGAAUAAAAAUCAACCAUUCAACACAUCCUUAUGGUCGAUUCCAUAAUCAUCCACUAAUAAUGCAUCUAUCACAUAAAUGUAUUCUUAUAUAAUAUCUAAUAUUAUAUGCAAACAUGUUUCAAGUUUCUAGCAAUUAAGGUCAUCUAAACUCUUUUAGACAUAUGGAUCGGAAUAAUUAAAUAAUUAAUUAAUUAAUUAAUUUAAUUAGCGGGCAUAUUUAAUUAAAAUCAAAUUUUAAUUAAAUAUCGAAUUAGAGUCCAACUCUAAUUCAACAAUUAUAGGACAGGACUACUUAAUUAAAAUCAAAUUUUAAUUAAAUAUCAAAUUAAACUCAAACUCUAAUUUCAAAAUUUAAGGCGGUCGAAUUUAUUCAAAAUCAAAUUUUAAUUAAAAAACAAAAUUAGAGUCUAACUCCAAUUCCAAUAAAAUUUAAGGACGGGAUAACUAAAAUCAAAUUUUAAUUAAAUGUCCAAUUAGAAUCAAAUUCUAAUUUCAAGGAAAAAUAUUAGGGCAAAACAAUUUAAUUAAAAUUAAAUUUUAAUUAAAUGUUAAAUUAGAAUCCAAUUCUAAUUUCUAGAAUGUAUUCGGGUGAAUAAUUAAUUAAAAUCAAAUUUUGAUUAAGUAUUAAAUUAGAGUUCAACUCUAAAUUAAAUUGAACUAAUAUUUUAAUAGAGGAUAAAACUCCUAAAUAAAAUAAAAAUUCAAAUUAAGGUCAAAGUUUAAUAUUUAAGUUAAAAUCUAAUUUUAACGAAAAUAUAAAGUGUUGUCAAAUUUUAAAUAAAAUUUUAACUUGGAUCAAAAUUAAAAUAUAGGUCAAACCCAUUUAAAUAUAAUUUCAAAAUCAUUUUAGAAUUCAAAUCCAAAUCAUAUUUUCAAAACUUGAAAUUUUGACCCCUUUACAAAUUAUCAACAGGUCCCCUCAAUUACUCUAAUUGCAAGACGGCCCUCUAUUUUAAAUUUACACAUUGAUCCCUGGAAAGUAAUUGCAGACAGGGGACUCCAACUUCACAAAUUGCGGACGAGGCCCCCAUCCCAAAUCUCCACACCCGAGCUGUAAACCCUAGAUCCCCAAAUUUUUUUUUAAUUUUCUUGCAUUCUUUCUUCAUCUUGUAGCGCCGCCACCGCCCAUAGAAGGGAAGAGCCACGGCUUUGCCCCGUUGUAGCAGCUGCGCAAAAGUGAAAGCGCGGCGUCUGCUAUCGCUUUUGGCAUCUGCCGCUACUCUUAGCAGUGGCAUCUGCCGCACCUAACAAACACAAAGUAGGCUUUGAUAUCACUGUUGAGAAUCUACUUAACGUGCGUGGUGGAAAUUUAAAACAAUUUUCGAUUCCCACCAAGAAUCGUCUUUGUGUUUAGAUAGAAACUGUGAUAAAAAUUGUACCUUUUACGAGAUCUACAAAUUAUUUUGCUUUUCCAUUGUUCAAGCAACUUGAAUCUGUCUCCCACAGCUGUCCAAUUAUCCAGCCUCCAACGAUGAUCCACACAGAGAACAAGAUUACAAGAUUAGGGCUUUUUCUUUUGUGCUAGUAAGAAUAAUGAAUUCUCUACAAAAUUGUAAACUCGAAUCAGUUAUUUAUAUAAGCCCAAACGGCCUUGACCUGACUCAGUCCAAUAUUUAAUUAAUUCAUUUAAUUAAAUUCGAUCUGUGAAUUAAUUAAUCUAAUUAAUUAAUUCAGGCUUAUAAAUAACCAACCCAUUUAAUUAAUUUAUCUAACGAUUGCUAAAUUAAUUAAUUGACUAAUUGUGAUAUUCCAAUUCUCUUUUGUGUGCGACCUAUCUGGUUCUCGAUCAUAAUGCCUAAUGACGUGAAAUAUUAUUUUGAUCUAAUCAAAAUUGAUAAAUUAAAACACCCUCUUAAUUUAUUACAAAUUCACACUUACCAUCCCAGAUAGACAUCUAACAAUGUGUCAGGGCAAUACAUGUGACAGGAAAUGUCACUUGGUAUGACAAAACCAAAAUCGUUCGUUUACCGUGAAACUAUAAUCCCUUCAUCAAUAUGAUCCGAUCAAUUACGAGAUAUGAAAGUGUGUCAAUCCCGAUUAUCGAUCAUAUCUUUCACUCCACUAUUAAGUCAAUAUAAGUCGAGAACUCCUUUUCGACUUAUGAGUACACCUUGAUCAAGGAUUUCGUUAUCAACUUAAUUGAAUGAAACGCGGAUCAUAAUCUCUUACUAUCUAAGAGUGACGAAUCCUCUAUUGGUCAUUUACAACCUUCAUAUGAUUUUUGAAAUACACGAACGAUGUCGUAUUAGUGGCCCUUGGCAAAGCAACAUCCAACACCGUCAAAACAUAACUUACCUCAUAUAAGGUAAUAUGACGACCUCAAGUCAAAAGGACCAAUCUCAUUACUGAACGUUAGAGAUUAACCACUGACACUCAGAUAAUUAUCCAUGUGAAAUCUCUAGAUAGGUCUCCAAUGUUUUGUUUUAUAAAAAAAUAUCCACGUGUUCAUUCAAGUGUCACCAUACUUUAACUUGUGAGAUCAGCUACUUACUUCACAAGUAAGAAAUGCUACACAUGAUGGUCUACCGGUAAUAACGAUAUCCGUAUCUCAUUAUUACUUACAACUACGGACAAUUUAAGAUUCAAUCAUAUGUAAUUUGUAAUUCACAAUCACAAUUCUUUGUGAUUAACAAAUUACGAAGAUUUGAAUCUACAGACUCUAUCAUUUAGUUUAAUUGUCCAUUAAUUAAAUAAUAGAUAUGCCAUUAAAUUACAUUAAAUUUAUAUUAAAAGAAUUUAUGUCCAAUGUUGAUUGGACCUAGGGCACAACACUUACAUCACCUGCGUAUAAGACUUAUUGCUUAUGAUCAAUUGGAAAUUAGUGGUAUGACUGGAAGUCAAGUACAAAGCGUCAGCACUUCGAUGGAAAAACCAAAGAUGAAUGCUUAGCAUCAGUUCCCGAAGAGAUUUGAGCAAUGCAGAGGAAAGUUCUCAUUGAUUACUGGGUUAUGGAACAAGCAAAAAUCUGUACUUAGUUUGUAUAUUUUUAUCUACUCCAAUUAGAUCUUUUGAGCCUUAUAUAGGCAACCUUGAGAACAAACAAAUACGAUUGUGUUUCUAUGGGGAUUCCUCAUUGCGCGAGGAGAAAAAUAUGUGCCAAUGUACGAUGAGAGGUAUACCUCUCCAUGACAUCUCGCUUUUGCUCUAUAUACACCAUAAAGUGAUAAAAUUAAGCCAUUUAGUAUGCUUAAGUUGCUCGAAAUUUUAAUAUUCUGCGAAGAAAGUGAUGGAAAAAAGGCUUAAUGGCUACUUUUGGCAUAAUUUUGAGUGGUUCAUUCAUUUUGGAAAAUCAAAGUUGAUUCGUGUUCUCCUUCUAAGAAAUUGGAGUCGAAAGUGGACAAUUUGAAAGGAGUUUAUGUAUUGAAGGGAAAACAAUUAAGUUUGCCCACAUAGAAAAAUGAUCAAGCCAAAGACCAGUUUAUAUAUGGGGAGAUUUAACACCCAAAGUCGUAUCUUGGGAGAUAGAUGCUUAAAUAAACCUCAAUCACUUAUGGUAAGAGAACAAAUCUGUUUUUAAGGAUACGAUGUUUACAUAAGCAUUAGUUUAAUAUUAUAUUCAGCGAUUAUUUGUUUAACAGAAAGUUUGUUUAGGCAAACUACAGCUUAGAUAUAACCUGAUUUAUGCGGGAAUGAUGAGUGUGUUGGAGAGGUAAUGUUGGAAAAAUAUGUGAUUUGUGUGUAGAUAUUUAUCAAUUAUCAUAAUAAUUAAUUAUCGAUUAACAUAACAAGUAAUAAUAAACAUAAAACAUAAGUAAUUGGUUCUUUUUUCUAUGAGUACGACUACAGGGAGACAAAGAACGAGUCUUUAUCGAGUUGGCAAAAUAAUAUGAAUAUAGUAUAAAAUUGUAUAAGGAAUAAUUAUUCACCCUCACAAUUAAUCCAUUAGAAGAUAAGUUAUACUCCGACAUUAAGAUUAUUAACAUAAUAUUAAAAUUGAAGAUUAAAAGUAAAAACUAAAAAUUUAAGUCUAUUUUGUUUUGAAAGUUUAAAGCUUUUUUUAAAAAAAUGUUACACCAAUAUCCCACAAGGUUUAAACUUUUAAAAUAAAUCAAUACAUAAUGUAUAUAGUGGCAACGUUAUAAAGUGCAGUAAGUGUAGUAUCUUUUGAACUUGAACUUUACUUAGGGAUAACAAUAUUUAUUUGAGGGUGCCACAAUGGACUAAGCCCUAAAUUAGGUCCCUUUGGCCAAACUUCAAUUAUUCCACACAAUAUUGAUUUAGGCUAUAGUUUAUAAAAGGGUAGCACUCUCGACAGCCAUUCUCUCUAAUCUUGAUUCUAGUGAAAAUCUCUAGGUAAUAGCCCAAUCUCGUAGCCAUAGCCUCACGAUAACUUUUACAAAGGUGAGUCUUCCAAGGGUGCAUGUCACCCACACCUCGUGACAAAUAAAAUAGUGAUAUUACAAAUCAUGCAGCACGAGUUGUUUCUAUCAAAUUGAACAUUCUUCAUUAGAUCUCCAAUAAAAAUGUUAAAUUAUUCCUGGAGCUGACUCCCUUAUGGGCUUAAACCUAUCCUCUCGAUGAUUUUUGUAUGUCUAUCUCAGACUACAAUUUAUUUCUAUCUCUUGUGAUCAAUAGUUUGGUAUCAUCAAUAUUUACAAGCUCUUAUUCUUCAUCUGCAUUUCUACAAAAUUUUGUAAAUUUUCGAAAAUAUUAGUAUCACAUAUCUCAUUAUAAUAAGAUAAACAUGAAAUUUCUAAUAUCGUCUCUUAGUAACACAUUUGAGUAGAUGCAUCCAUUGAGUUCUUGCAUUUCACUUACAUUUCUACAAUUUAAUUUUUAACAAUUUUCAGUGUCAUUUUGCAACUAAGAAUAAUAAAAUAUAAGAUGAUACAAUUUGAUAUUUUAAACAACCCACAUUCUAAGGAUAUAAUAAUUCAUUACCAAACAAUAUCUCUAUCUCCCACUGUUAUUUUUGAAACCUUAUGGUUUGGUCUAAUUUGAGUAAAGAACAUUUAAAAGAAAUUACAGAAUCUAAAGAACAAGAACACAGGAUAUGUUUUUACCUUCGAAAGGGCCCGGAUGUUCGGUCGUAAGACCUAGUCACCCGUUGAGCAUCCACUAAGGGAUUUAGCUCAAAGAUCCACUAAUAUCAACCAAGAAUCAGUUUACAAAUGUACGAAGAAAUGUUUGAUUUGUCCGAUUUUUCUCUCGCCUCUUUUUGUUGAAAAAUCCUCACUCAUUUGAUUUUUUCUAUAUCUCGCACUAAGCAAUCAGGGAUUACCACUAAGAACAUCAACUAUCACUCACAAAGAUUAAUUUCAGAUUACAGAACAAACCCUAACUUUUCACUCAGAAAAGUGAAGAGACGGAGAGAAAAGAAAAUGAAAAACUUCUUCACGUAUGAACAGGGCCAACGUCAAAUAUAUAUCUGUCCACACCAAUAGUCUCGAUCAAGGGCUGGAAUGAAGCCACGCGUACGGCUGAUUCUCAUCCCAGAAAAGAGGCUAAAAUCGUGUUGUAUCAAAAACGCGUUUUCAUCUAAUUAAUCAGCAACCCGGUUGCAAAAUUGGCCCAACAUAAAAUGGCCCAACAAACAAGAUUUAGCGAGGCAGCCCAAAACCUUUAACAAUCUCCACCUUGCUGAGCUAACCCUUGGUUUUUACUAAUGGAUCUUUUCACUGAAUUAGUUAGUUUCAUUUGCUCGAAGUACCUGUAAAAAAAAAUAUAUACAAUUAGUUCAACCCCCAAAAACACUUGAGGUUCUAAAUUUCACUUCCUUAGGUGAUAUUUAGAAUCUUCAAGCAGUUUUUAAAUUUGUUUAGAGGCAGUACCUUGGUCCCCAAAUCAGAAGGAUUAAAUUCUGUAGAAAUUUUUACCAACCUGAUAAGACCCUUUUCAACCAUAUUUCGAACAAAGUGAAAUUUUAUAUCUACAUGUUUGGUUCUAUCAUGAUAUACAGGUUUUUGCUCAGAUGUAUUGCACUUUGAUUAUCAGUAUAGAUAAUAACAGAGUCAUUUGCAAAACCAAUUUCAUUUAAUAAGCCUCUUAACCAGAUGCUUUCUUUAACAGCAUCACAAGCUUCUAUGUAUUCAGCUUCUGUAGAUGACAAGGCAACUAAUUUUUGUAGUUGUGACUUCCAACUUAUACACCCAUCACUCAGAGUAAAGAUGUAAGAAGAUGUGGAUCUUCUCUUAUCCAAAUCACCAGCAAAAUCAGAGUCUGUAUAGCCCUUUAAUGUUAUCCCUUCACUACUCCUUUUAAACAUUAAGCCUAAAUCAGAUGACCCUUUUAGGUAUCUUAACAUCCAUUUUAUAGCCAGCCAGUGAGUUUCACCAGGAUUAGCCAUAAAUCUACUUAAUAUGCUAAUACCAUGGGCUAAAUUAGGUCUAGUGCAAACCAUGAGAUACAUUAUGGAACCUACAGUAUUAGCAUAAGGUAUUCUUUCCAUUCUCCUAAAUUCGUCAUCUAUUUUAGGUGAUUGUUCACUUGACAAUUUAAAAUGAUUUGCAAUAGGAAGAGUGACAGGUUUACAUUCAAGCAUAGAACAUUUUUCAAUAAUUUUCUUCACAUAAGAUCCUUGCUUCAACAUCAACAUGUAAUUAUCUCUAUCUCUUUCUAUUUCCAUACCAAGAAUCCUCUUGGCUUGCCCUAAAUCUUUCAUUUCAAAUUCAGACUUUAACUUUGAUUUAAUGAAAUCAAUCUCAGUUACAUCAUGGCAAGCAAGUAACAUAUCAUCAACAUAUACUAACAGAUAAAUGGAUUCAGGUCCACCUGAACCUUUAUAGAAGAGACAAGAGUCAUAACUACUUUUCACAAAACCUAAGGUCUGCACAAAUGAAUCAAAUUUCAAAUACCAUUGCCUGGGUGCUUGCUUAAACCCAUAAAGAGAUUUUUUCAGCAAACAAACUUUGUCUAAUUUUGAUUUAACUUCAAAUCCUUUGGGCUGAUUCAUAUAUAUAGUUUCAUCAAGAUCACCAUUAAGAAAUACUGUUUUAACAUCAAGUUGUUCUAACUCCCAGUUAAAGUGAGCAGUUAGAGCCAAUAGAAUUCUGAUUGUAGUGUACUUUGGUAUAGGAGAAAAUAUUUCAUUGUAAUCUACUCCUUCUCUUUGUGUAAAGCCUUUUGCUACUAAUCUGGCUUUAUACCUCUUAUUUUCUAAAUUUGGAUCUCCUUCUUUAAUUUUAAAAAUCCAUUUACAGACUACAAUCCUUUGAUUUUUUGGUCUAUUUACUAAAAUCCAAGUUUUAUUUUUGAUAAGAGAAUCCAUCUCCUCAUCCAUGGCUUCCUUCCAAAGCUUAGAAUCAGAAGAGUUAAUAGCUUCAUCAAAGGAUGUAGGUUCAGAAUUUAAGGAAUCAAGAGCAGAGAAUAGAGUAACAAAGUCUUCACUAUUGAAUCUGGUGGAAGGAAUUAUAGUUCUCCUUACUCUAUCUCUAGUUAGCUGAUAAUCAGCAAGAGCAUUAUUUGCUGAUUCAGAUUCAUCUUCAGACUCAAUUUGAUCAUUAUUAAUUUCAGAUUGAGAAUGCUCCACCUCAAGAAGAUCAGUUUCAUUUUCAGCAUUUUCAGAUUGAAGUUCCAGGAUGGUUUCAUUUAUUGAUGCAGAUUCUGAAGUUUUAGGGUCUUUAGAUUUAAUACAGGGCAUGUCAUUUUCAUUAAAAAUGACAUCUCUACUUAUUAUAACUCUAAAGCCAUUUUGGUUUUUAACCCAGAGUCUAUAGCCUUUUGUUUCUUCUCCAUAUCCCAAGAAAACACAUUUCUGGGAUCUAGGCUCAAGUUUGCCUUCGCUUUGAUGGGAGUAUGUAGCACAGCCAAAAACUUUGAGUUUACUAUAAUCAGGUGUUUUUCCAGACCAUAACAUUUCAGGGACUUGAAAAUCAAUAGCACUAGAUGGACUUCUAUUUAUUAGAUACGUGGCUGUUUUUAGGGCUUCACCCUAGAAAAACUUUAGGAGUCCAGAACUGUACAGCAUACACCUGACCUUUUCUAACAGGGUCCUAUUCAUUCUCUCAGCAACACCAUUUUGUUGAGGGGUGUAUGUUACAGUUCUAUGUCUUAGAAUUCCACUUUCUUUACAAAAUGAGUUAAAUUCAAAGUUGCAGAAUUCAAGACCAUUAUCAGUUCUUAGUGCUUUGAUUUUCUUGUUGGUUUGAUUUUCAAUCAUGGAUUUCCAUUGUUUGAAGAUUUGGAAAGUUUCAGACUUUUGCUUUAGAAGAAAUGUCCACAACUUCCUUGAAUAAUCAUCUAUUAUGAGUAAAUAGAACCAAAUGUAAAUCGAUAAGAGGGUUCAGAAAUAUACCAUACACUGAAACCUUAAAGUUUCAGUAGAGAGACAUCAUCAAGAUAUCAGGAAAGUAGUUCGUCUUUGAGAAUGAGUGGAAGGAACCAGUGAGUUACUGAAACUCGGUGUGAACUCAGCCAAAUCGGAGCGAGUCAACUCAACUCGCCAAACACAGUACGAGUCAAACCACUCAGUCAAAACUCAGUUCUGAGUCAACUCAGAAAUUUCAGAAAAACAUUAACAGUGAACGGAUCUCCUUUAAAAACCAACAGAUCCAAAAGAAACUAUCAAGAACCAAUAGUAGAUCCAACCUAUAGUUGAAUCGAAGAUUUAUUCCAUAGUAUAUGCCUUUUUAAAUAUCAGAUCUUAAUCUUAAAAAAUUUACAGAUCUGAAGUUCUAAAAAAAAAUUUAUAUAAACCAAGAACUAGGGUUUCUUGAAAAAAGAAUUUUACAAAAAAAAAAUUUUUAAAAAAAUACACGUUUUCAAAAAAAAAUGCUCUGAUACCACUGUUAUUUUCGAAACCUUAUGGUUUGGUCUAAUUUGAGUAAAGAACAUUUAAAAGAAAUUACAGAAUCUAAAGAACAAGAACACAGGAUAUGUUUUUACCCUCGAAAGGGCCCGGAUGUUCGGUCGUAAGACCUAGUCACCCGUUGAGCAUCCACUAAGGGAUUUAGCUCAAAAAUCCACUAAUAUCAACCAAGAAUCAGUUUACAAAUGUACGAAGAAAUGUUUGAUUUCUCCGAUUUUUCUCUCGCCUCUUUUUAUUGAAAAAUCCUCACUCAUUUGAUUUUUUCUAUAUCUCGCACUAAGCAAUCAGGGAUUACCACUAAGAACAUCAACUAUCACUCACAAAGAUUAAUUUCAGAUUACAGAACAAACCCUAACUUUUCACUCAGAAAAGUGAAGAGACGGAGAGAAAAGAAAAUGAAAAACUUCUUCACGUAUGAACAGGGCCAACGUCAAAUAUAUAUCUGUCCACACCAAUAGUCUCGAUCAAGGGCUGGAAUGAAGCCACGCGUACGGCUGAUUCUCAUCCCAGAAAAGAGGCUAAAAUCGUGUUGUAUCAAAAACGCGUUUUCAUCUAAUUAAUCAGCAACCCGGUUGCAAAAUUGGCCCAACAUAAAAUGGCCCAACAAACAAGAUUUAGCGAGGCAGGCCAAAACCUUUAACACCCUAUAUCACAAUAUACUAUUGAUCUGUGUAGGCGUCUAAGUCCGUCCAAGACUAUUCAAACAUUAAUCAUCAGUGCACUGGACUUUAGUUAAUUAGUAACAAAUAAUAAGAUAUAAUUCUCAAAUCCAAUGUGCCCUAGAGUGUUGUAUCAGUCUAUCCUGUAGUGCUUCUUGGCUAUCCAGUUUCCUUUCCAUCUCCUAGAGUGUUGUAUCAGUCUAUCCUGUAGUGCUUCUUGGCUAUCCGGUUUCCUUUCCAUCUUUUCUAGUUACUCACUAACUUCAUAACGAUCUACCUUAAUAUAUGAUAUUGAGAGAAGAUGAGGCUUCUCUCUCUAGGAUUUGUUUGCUUUCUGCUACUAAGUCUCUUCUGAAUUUCAUUAUUCUUUAUUAAUUUGUAGCGUGGAAAAUAUAAACAGUUCUAGAAUUCAUUCUUAUCUAAAUCAGAUCCAUGUUCAUUGGUUUGUUUUACAGUGCACAACAAUGGAGAAAUCUCUAUUUUAUAUAUUCCCCUGCUGCCACCAUGAGCUCAACCAUUUCGGAAAUAACAAAAAUCUAAAGGCACCUUAAGAACUACUGCCUAGAAAAGUGUCAAAUUCCAAAAUUUAGACACAAAACUUGGUAUAUUUCCAACUAUCUUAGGUAUUUAUAUUUCAAAUAACUCACAAUGGUAUCUCAUAAUUCUCAUGCGUUUAAUUUUCAUACCUAACCUCUAAACGUGAUGGCUGACGUCAUACCACCCACAAUUAAUCCAUUUAAAGGAUAAGUUACACUCAAUAAUUAAGAUUUUCAACUUUAUAUUUAAGAUGGAAGAUUAAAAUCAAAAUUGAAAAUUUAAGAUGGUUCUAAUUUUGAAAGAUGAAAACUUCAUUCUUAUUUUACACUUGGGUUGUAAAUAAAAUUAUGCAGAUUAGUCAUGAUAUUACACCUCUUUUAAACUAUUAAUUGAGAACAUUAUUGAGAUUUAAAUAUUUUAACAAUUUGUUUAAAUUCAAAACAUAGAAUUUCCAUGAUUCAUAAUUCAUGUGCAUGACAAAAUACCAACUUUUUCAGCAUUUAACUUAAUACGCGUAAAAUAAUAAUAUAUUCACUUGCAUGUUCGGUGCACUUGCAUGAAACAAUAAAACCUGAUGUAAUGUAGCCAACAAUUAAUAUUGUAAGAUAUUAACUCAUUUUCGCAUUCCAUAUCAGGAUAUCAAGACUCAUGCUCGAUGGUUUAUUUACGUCCUUCACGGGACUAAUUUUCAGAAUCUAAUAUGCAGUACUAUAUUUCUUCAGGAUUGGGUUUGUUCUGCCAAGCUUAAACUUUAGUUUUAUGGCUUUGAUACCUAAAGUUCAGGAGGCUAGGCCAAUAAUCACCUGCAACUUCUUGUUCAAAAUUAACACCAACACUCUAACCAACCGAUUUCCCAUUGGUUCCAAAACUGUGUCAGAUAAUCAAUACCUGUUUAAUAAGGGUCGGUAAAUUGAAGAGCGCAUUGCAAUGAUGUCAGAUAAUCGGUACCGAUUUAUUAAGGGGCAGUAAAUUGAAGAGUGCAUUGCAGUGGCUCAAAAGUGUGUUAAUGCUCUGAAGAAAAGAAAAAUGAUUUGGUUUCAAGGUUCUAAAAAUUGAUAUCUGUAAAGCUUUUGAUACCAUCAGCUGGGAUUUUCUCCUAACGGGUAUUACAAUGCAGCGAAUGCUACGGAUUUAAUACCAUUUUUGUGAUUAGGUAGAACAAAUCUUUAAAUUUGCUUGAAUUUGUGUCUUGGUGCACAGGAUACCGAAGAGAGAUUUCCAAUGCUUAAGAGUUGUUCAUCAUUUAUAUAUCCUUCAAUCGAGAGAAUUAUCUGUCAGUCAUGAAGAAAGCUAGAUGGAUUAUUGGUGAAUACUCAUGGCUGAGAUUCUUGACAGACAACUGGUUAGAGGAUCCAAUCAUUGAUAUAUUGGGCUUUUCUUCAGAAAGAAACAGGUUGCUUAUGGCACUUGUGUUAGAUGUAUAUUAUGCUAGCAGUUGGCAUCUAUCAAUAGAAUUCAGGGCUGAUUACACUACCUAUAGAUGUGUAUUAGGCAUGCAUGCACGUCCAAAAUUUCUAACCAACAAUAUGGAAAUUAAUUAGGCAUCAAAGAUAACAAAAGGUACACUAAGAUUACACAUAUGAUUUAUCUACACAAAUCAUCUCAACACGACUUUAGAUUAUUGAGAAAAUGGGUUAUUGUGAGUAGAUAUUUAUCAAUUAUAAUAAUAAAAAAAUUAUUGAGUAACAUAAAAAGUAUAAAUAAUAUAGUUCAACAAUAAACAUAUAAACAUAAAAUAUAAGUAGAGAGCGUUAGAAAAAUAAGCUUUAGGGAGUCACGUCAAGUACACUAUCGUAAAGUCUGUUGCCUCCCUUUUGUGCGGGUACUUUCGGCAUGAUACAACUCUAAGAUAAAACUCUAUAUGGCUCACAACUAAUUCACCUUCUAUGGGCAUGACACAGGGAGAUAAAGAACAAGCCUUUAUUGAGUUGUCAAAAUAAUAUGAAUAUAUCACAAAAUUGUAUAGAGAAAAAUUCUUCAAGUUGUGUAUAAAACUAUGAAAAUUCACCCCACGGUUCAUUUAUUAAAAGAUAAGUUACAUUCCAAUAUUAAGAUUAUUAACAUAAUAUUGAAACUGAAAUCAAAAAUAAAAACUGAAAAUUUAAUUCUAUUUCAUAUUGAGAGUUUAAAACUUUUUCUAAAAAAUGUUACAUUACAACAGGUAAGAGAAGAUGUAUUGGAUAAAGAAUAAAUUUGAAGAGGAAUCAAGCCUGCUAUUGAGGGGCAGGUUAAAAUCUCAAAAGAUGGUAACCUUGAUUUACUCUAGGGAUGGCAAAUGAGCCCAUCGGUUCAGAUGGCCUACAGCUCGGCCCAGAAAAAGUUCAAGUCGACUCACCUUAACUCGAGCCUCAGUAGAAUCGAGCUAGAGUUUCGGCCAAGGCCCAAUUUUGGGAGGCCAAGCCCAAAAUUUUUGGGACUUGGUUUGAGCCUCGGCCUACCCAUGUGGCUCGUCCAGCCAUACGGGCUGACUCAUGAAAAUGGCACGUGUGACAGGUUCGACCCAUCUCAUUGCCAACAUUAAAUUUUUUGUUUUAUUAAUAUUUAAUUUAAGAUUUGAGUAUAACUUAUAUAUAAAUAUGCUUAUAUAAUUAAUAUGUAUAGUUAUACUACAUCCAUUUUUAUAAUUUAUUAUCAUAUUCAUCAAUAUUCUCAUUAUAUUUUAUUGAUAUAUAUUUAAUAUUUUAUUAUAUAGGAGUUAAUAUAAUACUAUUUGUCACCAUGUGGUGUUGAAACUUAAAAGACACUUUUUUUUGUUCUAACAUUCUUAAUUCUACAAGUAAAUAUCAGGAUAUUUAUACAACUGAAAAUCGUAUUUUAAUUCAUAUAUUCUCGUAUCUAUAUGAAUAUUUUUUAUUAUAUUUUAGUCAAGAAGAAAAACCUGUUUGACUUCUUUAUAUGAAUACAUAAAUUUAAAAAAUUUAAAAAAUUCGUAAGCUGGCUCAGCUCGUGUCAAAAACCUCCAAAUUUCCGUUGGGCUUCGGCUCAGCUCGAGCUUUUUUUAUAGGGCCACGCACGAGCCACAAGUUUCAGCUCGUGAGCCAGCUUGGUCUGGAACUUUGACACCGUAAUUUACUCAUUAAAUGCUGUAAGAGUCUCUCUUUAUUAAUACUUUGCUUUAAAAUUUCUUCAUUUUCACCUUUUCACUUACAUAAAACAAGCAGGAGAACUCGAAAAUUCAUUUAAAGUUUUUAAAAAUCUUAUUAUCUGGUCUUGCAUGCCUCAUAUAAAGUAAAUCUUUUAGAUUGAAAAUGAGCAAAUCUCCAUAUAAGUUCAAUGUCUCAGACUUCUGGUCUCUGUCAGUUUUUUGGCAAUUUACUCAUGAACCGAUCACCUUUGACUUAGUGGAUUUUUUUCUUGUUCGUAUUUAUUUCUUAAAUCUAUGAGUUCUACAUGUUUUUAACUUCUUUGAUUUUACUGAUUCUUUUUCAGUUGCCGCUAUUUAUAACCGUGUCCAAUCUAUCAUUCAAAGUGCGACCUAUAUGCACAGGCAUGCGUUAGCUUACAAUGUUGGAUUUACUUCGAAUGGAAUCUCAAACUAAGGUGUAUUUUUACUCUGCUAAUGUAACUGAAACAGAUGCUACAAUUUGGUUUAAAACUGCAAAUGGAAAUCACACAAUCAAAAUAUUGUUUUGUGCUUUUUGCCUAGCGACAACAGAGAUUUCUUCAGUAUCAAUAUCUAAUUUGGCAUUAUCACUUGUGUAUUCAGAGCCUUGAACGUGUAUUUCAUAAAGUUAAAUUAUUCAUUUGAUUUAUAAAAGGAAAAGGAAUAUUAAAAGCAAUUAUUUUUUAAUCAAAGGACAGAAAAUUCAUUAAAAAACUUUGAUCUAUUUUUAGGGAUGACAAUUCGAAUCGUCAAAACCAAAAAUCGCGGUUAACCGAAUCGAAUGGGGCGAAAAAAAUCGAACCAAUCGUGUAAUGUGAUGGAUAUGGUAUUUGAUUUUAAUAACCCAGUUCAGGCGAGGCGGGUAUGGUAUUUACGCCGUCGACCCACCCCGAACCAAUUAACCGUUAAUCUUUUUUUUAUAAGUACCCGUAAAAAAAAAAAAAUUAAUUGGACAAUUGGGUUUUCCAUUAUUCUUUCUAUAAAUGAAGAAUGUAUAUGAGAUAUGACUUAUGAGUAUUGAAUUUUGAUUUAUAUGUUUUAUGAGAAUUUGAGAAUAUAUCAACCAUGAAUUGGGAUAUUAAAGAUUAAUUUGAGUAUUGUGAAAUGUUAUUGUGUGAUUUGUGAAAAUUGAAAAAUGAGAAAUUGGAGAAUUUAUAAUUUGAGGUAAAUUGGUGUUGGGAAUUGAAAAUUGAAACUUUAAUUAUAUUUUAAAAUUAAUUUUAAUUCUAAUACAAAUUUCUCAAUCGAUGUCCCAGCCUAAUUCUUGUAAUGGUGCAUCUAAUCCCGUAACUAUUUCUAGUCGAGCAAAUGAUUUAUUAAGCAUUGAUAAUACAAAGAAGUCUCAUGCAUCAUUUAUUUUAUAUUAUUUCAGGUUGUAUUGUAUUGUAAUUUGAUAUAAAUAUACGAUUUUUACACUUUAGUGUAUUUAAAUAUAGAUAGAAUAGUUUUAAUAGAUAUUAAUAAAUGACAUCGCUAUACGGCCAUUAGCUGUUGACGAUUCACGAUCAAUGACCACCCUAACUGGGUUGAAGUCCUGGUUUUGCCCAUGUUCGUAGUUAUUAAAUGUUCGAACCGAGCCAAACCGACUUACGUGGCUAUGGUGCGGUUAUGGUAUGGCCAAAAUAUUGGUGGUUUGAUGAUAGUUUUGGCUGAACCAACCCUGAACUGAACCAUUGCUAACCCUAUAUAUUUUGCUAUAAUGAUCACAAAAAUCAGAUAUACUCAAGAUGUAAUCUAAUGCCAUCUAUCAGUGGUACUUACCAUUUAAAAAUGAAAGUAGCUAAACAUAUGGCUGAUAAAAUGAGCGUAUAUAUCAAAAUGCAGAUUGACGCUAGCGGUUAUCCAAACGACAAAGAGACUGUGAGCAUCAUUAUAAGGUUUAUGUUCCUAUUACCCUUCUGCUACUACUGCCAACUCUAAUGGACAGGGUCGACUUUCCCAAACUUUACAAAAAGUUCAGCUUCGAUUGGUCUAGGCACCUCUGGUGGUGUACUGCAUCGUAACAAAGCUCAGUUAACACCUUCAAAGAAAGGAUACUUCUUAACCUCUGUUGCUCAUCUCUUCACCACAAACCGAUAGUGUUGCUCAUUUUCUUCCCAAAAGAUGAAUCCACCUUCUAUUUACAGAUACUGAGUAAUAAUAGAUGAAAAUGAUUCAUUUGUAACAUGAAUUAUAUUGACUUUUUUACCCUAAUAUUCAUCCUCUAUAGCAUACACUUGAUCAAAUGUUGGAUAAACAGUUCAUAUCGCCCUUCCAAAUUUCACUGAAAAUCGCAUAUUAUCCUAUCCCUCAAAAAUCGUAAGUCAUAGCUCAGCAUCCAAGAUGAUGGUUUUUUAUAAUGGGAAAAAUUUUUGGAAUAGAUAUAGUGGGCUAGAAAAGUGGUGGAUUGGAUGAUUUUGAUUUUCAUAGUUUUUUGAUAUAAAACAAUUUAGAGGACAAAGUGGGCAAGAGAAACAAAUGUUGUCAGAUUGAUAUUGCUUUAGUUUUUGGCCUACAUACAAUUUGAAGACCCACUCCUUAUAGCCUUCAAAAUUAGGUGCAUCACCUUUAGAAAAUUUUUAUUUUUUUACUAUUUUAUUAUUUGUUUUACUUGUUCCUUAAACAAAUCUAGAGCUUUCGAGGUUGUAUGGUUUCUAGAAUAUGAAAGCAUUUAGAAAUUUGUAGCAGUAUUAAUGCUCCUUCAUACGCAUGCCCUUUGCAAGGGAACAACAGUUGGAAACUGCUGCUAAUACCCUGUAUGCUAAGGAGCAAAAGGAGGAAUCUACCUAAGGAGGUUCAGUAACUCCAAUCAUAUCACAUAGUAACUCGAACUUUUUUUUGUGGUAAUGCCUUAGUGAAUAAGUCUGUAACUAUUCCUUGGUUCUACAAUGUUUGAGCUCUAUCUCUUUACUUGCUUUAGCUUCUCUAAUGAAGUGAUACUUAAUGCUAAUAUGUUUAGUUCAGUUGUAGAAUACAGGAUUCUUUGCCAUUGGUAUUGCAGAUCUCCAUAGUGAAUUUUACUUGGACUUUGUAUGAAUCUUGAAAGUAGGCUAGUUGCUUCUCCAUGUGUGAUUUUUCUCAAUCAUUUUUAUUUCUUAAAUGAUAGUUUUUCUCCAUUCUGGUUGUUUUGAAGCUACUUCACAGCUUUCAAGUUCAACGAUUAUCAAGUUGCAACUUUAAUAGAUUUUUGAUAAGUGUUGUGUUUACUUGGUGACAAUUCUGGUGAGUUGACUAGUUCUUCUAUCAUUGCUUGCUAUGGGGACACAUGUUGAUUGUUCUCCUCGACGUCACCCUUCUAUUUUAUGGUUGUCUUAGGAUGCUGAUACCUUUUCUUUCAACUCGAUCAGUCUUCUAGUUGUAGGCGGCAUCUUCAUUAAACUUAACAUCCAGACUUAUAAUUAGCUUCUUCAUUCUUAGGUUAUAGACUCGAUAGUCUUUUGUUUGAGAGCUAUAGCCUAAAAAGAUUCCUUUCUCUGUUGUCUCAUCUAGCUUACCUCUUUUCUCUUGUAGAAUAUGUGUGUAGCAGAUGUAGUAAAAAACUCUGAGAUGCUUUGCUAAUGGUUUUCGUCCGCUCCAUGCUUCCACUGGUGUUUUAUCUUGCAUAGCUUUGGUCAGACAUCGAUUUAGUAGGUGGACUACGUUGCUCACUACUUCAGCCCAGAAGAUUUUUGGGAGACAUUUAUCCAUUAGCAUUGCUCUAGCUGUCUCUAUUUGUGUUUUGUUCUUUUUUUUUUUCUAACAUCGUUUUCUUCUGGUGCGUGUUCAACAGUGAGUUGAUGCUCCAUUCUUUCAUCUUCACAAAACUUGUUGCAUUAAUUUAAUGUGUAUUUUAUGCCUCUGUCAUUUCUAAUUGUAUUGAUAUUACGACCACUUUACUUUUUGACAUAGCUUUUAAACUUUUUGAAAAUCUUAAAAGCUUGAGAUUUCUCGCACAAAAAGCAUACUCGUGUCAGUCUAGAGUAAUCAUCUAUAAAGAGAAUGAAGUGCCUAUUUUGCUCAUGUGAUGGAGUACGCAUCUGACCACAUGCAUUUGUAACGGCUUUUUGGCUCUCCAAGAUUUUUGGGACGAAAAUGGUUGAUGUGUUGUUUUCCUAGAAAACAUCCUUUGCAAACUUCAUUAAUCUCAUUUAUGAUUGGUGAAUCUCUUAUCAUACUCUUUUGUUGAAUGAUCUUCAAUCGACGGGAUGGAAAUGUCCUAAUCUUCAAUCCCACAGCCACGACUCAUUCACUUGCGUCAUGAUUGCCGCAUUGUUUGCAUAUCUCCAUUGAAUUGGGAAGCAUAUAUUCUCCCUCUUUCUAACUUUUUCAAUCACAAGAUAUUUAUCUUUCUUGUCAUAAAUAUUACAAUAAUCUCAUUUGAAAUGUAAAGUGUAUCCUUUUUGCAUCAUUUGACCCACAUUUAGUAGAUUUUGAUCUAUUAUAGGGACUAACAGCACUUCAUUGAUAUAUCUUUACUCUUCUUUUGUAUCAACGACAGUAGUUCAUUUGCAUGUUGCCUCUAUGAAAUUUUCAUUUCCAAAUUUAAUUUUUGUUUUUGUUUUAUCAAGGUUGCAGAAAAUACUUUCAUAUUUCGUCAUAUGGUUACUGUAGCCACUGUCUAAAUACCACGUACCCAAUUUGCCUUCAGAUGCAUCCUUACUAAAGGUAUAAAAUAGAAUUCCUUCUAUAUCACGUUUUAGAUAAAUUGGCUUGAUAAUUUUGUUUAAAAUGACAAAAAAUUUUCGUGUCCAAAUUCUUUGCCGCUAUGACACUUUGGUUUUCCUUUAAACCAACAAUCAUUCUUCAAUUGACUUUUUCUUUUACAAAUACCAUGAGGAUACUUGCCACUUUUAUCAAUUUAUUUUCCUUGAAUUCCUUUAUUUUAGAAUUAUCUUUAAGUUUUCUCCUAUUUUCUUUAUAUUUCUGAAACCGCAUAUUAACUUUUGAUUGAAAGCAUUUUCUAUGUCAAUUUCAUAACUCCUUUUUAAUCUUUUUUCAUGUGCUUCUAGUGAACACAUUAAUCCCGUAGCUAUUAAUUUAUAUCUAUAUUUAGACUUCUCAAUAACUGUAAUAAUUGGAUCAUAUUUUUAUGUGAAACUAAUUAAAAAUUUUUCAACAAUUUUCUUUUCUGAGACAUCAUCUCCAUUAGAUCUUAAUUGAUUUAUUCUUCAUCUAUUCUUAAUUAAUAAUCUUUUGUGGCUUCAAAAUAUUUCAUUUUUAGAUUUUCAAAAUUCUUUCUUAAAGUUUGAAGAUGACAAGUACACACUUAUCACUGCCGUAGAACUCCUCAUUCAGUUUAUCUCAAGCUUCUUUUACCGUUUUAGCUCUCAUGAUUCUCGGAAAUAAGUGUCUGUCAAUUAAGCUCAUUCGUAGAGCAAAUAGUACUAGAAAUUUUUUUUUUUUGAUUCUCUUUAAGUUCCUUCUUUUGUACUGCAAUUAGAGAGGAUAUGUUAUUUGGGUCAGUGUACCCAUCAUUGACGACAUUCCAUAAAUUUUGCUUCUAAAAUAGUCUUCAUUUUGAUGUUCUUGAAAUCAUAGUUGUGUCCAUCAAAGAUUAGGAUGAGAAUUGAUGAGUGAAAAUCGUCUUCCAUAGUUUAUGCUUACUCCCAAUAUCAAUCGAGCAUAGCUCUGAUACCACUAAUAGUUUUUCUAAUGGGACAAAAUUUUUGAAAUAGAUAUAGUGGGUUAGAAAAUUAGUGGAUUGGAUGAUUUUGAUUUUUAUAGCUUUUUGAUAUAAAAUAAUUUAGAGGACAAGUGGGUAGGAGAAACAAAUGUCGUCAGAUUGAUAUUGCUUUAGUUUUUGGCUUAUGUACAAUUUGAAGACCCAUUGCCUAUUUAUAGCCUUCAAAAGUCGGUGCAUCACAUCUAGAAAAUUCUAAUUUUUUUCACUAUUUUGUUAUUUGUUUUACUUGUUCCUUAAGGAAAUAUAGAGCCUUCUAGGUUGUAUGGUUUCUAGAAUAUAAAAGCUUCUCGAAAUGUGUAGCAGAAUUAAUACAGGAAUCACUCUUGUACUAAUUAGUAAUCCCAAUGAAACAAGUGCCCCAAGGAGUUUUCAAAGAAGGAACGAAUUUACUGAGGGUGUCCACCCUCAGCUUACUACCAAGAAAGAGACCAUAGAAUGUCUCACAACUGUUGUGCAAAAAGUUGAGGAAAAAAUGGCAACUUCUGCUUCAACGGCCGAAACUGAGGUUGAAUCACUUGUCGGAGGACGGAGUAGGCGAGCUCCAGUUCAAAGGAGUGUGUACACUAUUGAGCAGGAAUUAUCCAAAAUUAAAAUAGGCGAAGCAUAAAGCCUAUCCUCCUUAGACAGAAUGGACACCAAAGAAAGUAGGAAGUGUGUUCGACUAGUUAGAUAUUCAACAUUCGUUUACUCCAAAAAAUGAGCAAUCUAACUUCGCCUAAAGGGAGCAAGCAAUGUGCCAGAAAUAAGCCAACUAAUGAAGCGAAUAGCCUAUCUAGAAGCUAAGAACAAAGAGGUGAUGUAGGAAUAUUUUGCCAAUCGCCUUCCUCAUUUACGGAAAACAUACUAACUGAACCUCUGUCAGAUAAGCUAAAAAUGCCCUAGCUUGUUGGAUAUGAAGGAGAGGGAAACCCUCUCAGCCACCUAGAUAAGUACACAUCAUGGAUGGAAUUGCAAAAAUUCAGCGAUGCCAUAACUACUCCCAAAAAAUAUUUGGUAAGUACACAUCAUGAGAAGUCAACCAGAAACAUGAUAGAAUUAGACAUUCCUAUCCCAGUUCAUAGGUUCAAGAGCCAGAACUACUCCCGAAAACUAUUGGUAAUUAUAAAGCAAGAUCAAGUGAGUCUCUCAAAAGUUAUCUUAGCAGGUUCAAUAAACAAAAUGUGGAGGUAGAGAAAAUAUCUGAUGAUGCAACCCUCAUAGCAUCUCCGUUUGGACUAAAACCCAAGGCGAGGUUCUGGUGGUCCGUGCAUGAAUAUGGGCCGAAUGAUGUCGUAUUCGAAGUGGACCAGAGUAAUUGUCAUCAAGUGUGGAAUGACAACAUUCUGUGACAAGUGGGGUGCUAGGAUACCCAUUUCCAUGCUUUGGGUGGACGAUAACAUUGUUUCCCAAGUCAAAAACCUCGAAAUAGACGACGUUUUUCCACUCCAAGUUAUUGGAUUUCUGGCAUUGCCUACUUUUUUUUUGAUUUGAUUCAGCACAAAGUUAUUGUUGUGUAUGCCAUUAAAACUAAGCCUUCUCAUUUUUAGGGGUUUUUCUCUCGUUAAUUUUUGCAAACGUUGGAAUCCAAUUUUAUUAGAAAGGGAAAAAAGUCAUAUUUACCCACUAUUUGAAAAAUAUUUCACGAUCUACUAUAAAAAUGAUUCCAUAUCAUAUAUAAUAUAUUAUGUAAAACAACACCAAGAAAUACUACCUAAAAUUCCUCAAUUGUUCUUAUAUAACCAAUCAUUAAAUAUAGAAAAAUUUAAAUUUCAUUCAAUUUUCCAGAUGAUUUUUUCAAGCAUAUAUUCCAAAGGCAUCUCAACACAUUUUCCUAUUAUUUUCAUUCUUUAGAGGAAAAAAAAUUGUAUUUUUGCUUUCAUCUAAUUUAGGUACUACUUGACACCAUUUAACUAAAGAUUUUGCUCAAUGAACAACGAACGAUUUGGCUAAAUAACAUAUAAUGGUAUGUUGAGAUCAUGGAAGUUAGAUUAGAAUUCAUUAAAUAGAAUCACAGUACAAUCUUUACUAUAUGAUAAUAGAAAUCAUAUGUGAAACCGCAUAGAUUGACAUCACGUAAAUGAGUAUUGUUAUUUGUGAAGUUUGCACGAUGAAAUACAUUUCAUUUUUAAAAUCAUGGCAAUUGGCAAGUAACGGCAUAAUAUGUCCUCUAAAUGUUGCAUCGAUGGAACAUGAAAGAAAUAAUUCUAUCCAACAAGAAUUCACUAAUUGAAAGGUAAGAAACAAGAACAUAACAUAAUCGAUCAUUUAUUGAACGUUAAAAAACAGAGAUUAAAAAUAUACAAGAUGAAAAUUUCCUAAGCGUAUUCCACUUUCAUGAGAAUUAAUUUCAUUAAAACUGCCUUUGAGGCCCUUCUAUGAAGCCUAAAAGAGUGGUGAACACUAAGUGGUUAUACAUGGUGAAUAACAGCCGGUAGCAAACACUAUGAAGCUUUAAUCUGUCAAUUAUUGAUUUUUUGAAAAAAGUAAUAAUAAUAAUAGGAGAAUCAUGUUGUAGGCUAAAAACAUUUUACCUAAGCCUAAAAGGAGUUCAAGACGAACUUCAGAUAAAUUGUAUAUGACUGAAACAAAUGUAUAAAAAUCAUGAUAAAAUCAUAGAAAAAGCAUUCAUUUACAGAUUGUGUGGAAACAGCACUAAUAUGAUAUCUUAAUUGCUAUAAAACUAAAAUAUUUUUGGUUACAUAUUGUACAAAAACAAUUAUAACGAACAAGCAAAAUAUCGGUGCUUAUCAACUCGUGACAAGUUGAAAAUGCAUACGCCAUAUUGUAAAACUUUGAAAAAUGCCUCAGAUUAGAAAUGUCCAUGUAAAAAGUUCAUUUUUUUAAUCCUACUAAUUCUUGAGCCUAUGAAUCAGGGAUUUAUAACGUGAAUGGUUGGUUAAUGAUAGAAUUUGUUUAAUUGAAUUAGCAUGAAUGGUGGGAUUUGUUUGAUUGAAAGAGGAGAGAGGUGAUUUCUUUACAUAACAAGAGUGGCCAUCAUAAUUUCCACUAUUGAAAAUGACACAAAGUAGGGCUUUGCUCUGGAAUUUGUUAGAAAUCGUUUAAACUUAUUGUGAAGUCUUUCCCCAUUUCAUUUGCAGUGGGAGGCCCGAACCAGUCCUCUUAUGAUGAUGCCUAUUUUCCUGAACCAGAAAUUAUAAAUGGUGGCUUAAGUGGCACAGAACCAGAGUGCUGGUGAUGAUGGUAGGAAAAGAUGGGAGACAAAUGAUUUUUUUUCUUAAUUUAAAUUAUUUAUUUAUAACUCGAUUGUACUUUUUUUUUUUUUAAUUUUCAGACUACAGUUAAAAUUAGUUCUUUAUUUUUUUUUUAUCCUUUUUGUUUUAUUUAAAUAUAGGGGUAUAUUCAUCAUUUCACAAGACUUUAUUAAGAAAAUGAAAGAAAAGAGAGUGUUAUGCACCUCACAUGUCAUAUACGAGGAUUUUCAGUCAAAAUGAAGGAAUAAAGGCAUUCGAAAUAGAGACAAAUGUUAUGAGAGUUUUGUUUCAAUAGGCCUGUUCCUUAUAAUGACACGGAUUUAGAGGUGACAUGUUCUUAUGCUCCUGUUUGAUAUUGAUUUAAAUAAGAUUUUAAUUUAAGUCAAAGUGAAAUAAUCAAUAUUAAUCAUAUCUUUCAUGAGAUUCCACAACUUUUCAAUUACACAUUUCAAAAAUUUCUAUUAAAAUCUACUAAAAAUUUAAUUUUAAUCUCUCCCAAAUAAGGGCUAUAUUUGUUGCUCGACUGAUUUGUGUUGUGUUAUUAAUAAUUGUCCAAAUUUUCUUUUAAAUCAUUAUGCUAAUUAGCCUCCAUUUGGCCCUCAUUAAUUUUCUUUCCAUUACAUUUUAUUUUUCUUUUUUCUAUUUUCAACUACAUAAUCUUCCAUAAAAUAAUAUUACACAUAAAUUGCAAAUUUUUCCUUCUUUUUCAACCACUCAUUUUUCAAAAAAUAAUAUUCCACUCAUUUUCAUUACCACAAAACGAGAGCCAAUCGGAAGAGUUGACGCCAUAUCUAUAGUAAAUCCCCAAUUUUCUUGUAGGUUUCCUAUCACACCAAAAAGAAAGGAAGGAACAAAAAUGUUGCCUUCCCAUUGGAGUCUUUGCGCGUGGGGCCAAAAUGGCCUUGCAUGUGCUUCACACCAUUGGAUUAUUGAUGUAGUUAUGAGAAUGAACAGUUGCGUCUUUUUUUCCACGCAAGAAUCUAAAUUAUUUCGAGACAUUUCCACACGAUUGUCCCCCACACCUGUAUAUCUUGCUUCGUUCUGACACUUGGCAUUCACUUUUAAAUGAAUUUUCCCCUCAAUUUCCCAAACCGUCCUUGAUAUGUUCUAGCGUUCAUUGCAUCAAUUGUAGAGGGUGGUCGAGCGUAAUUUUGUCCAAUAUAUUUUGACUUGUACAAUAAUUGGAAAUUGAAGUCUGACAAAACAACUCAACUUCUGUAUUUUUUUUGUAUAGAUUCUUUUAUAGUAGAAUAUUNNNNNNNNNNNNNNNNNNNNNNNNNNNNNNNNNNNNNNNNNNNNNNNNNNNNNNNNNNNNNNNNNGGUCAUUUAUACCCCAUUAUUUUCAAUUUAUAUUUUUGGAAUAAUAAUUUUUUUUUGAAGGAUGUGUUGUUGAAAAAAAUAAAGUUUGCGAUUUACAUGUAAUAUUAUUUUAUAAAAAAAAUAUGUGAUUGGAAAUAAGAUAAAUAAAAUUAUAAUUUCAAAAAAUGUGCUCCAAUGGGGGCCUCGAGUUUCAUGCUUUUGCCGGCAGCUCUAAUAAUGUUGUAUCACACCUUUGUCGACAGUGAACUUUAUCAAAUUUUAUGGCAAGACUUGAUGUGGAGACCUUUGUACAAGUCAAUAUAUUUUGUAAAAUCAUUCUAUAUAUGUAUUAUUUCGUGAUAUAUCAACAAAAUGGGUGGUCCACUGUUCACAAGCCUUGAAUUCAUUAUUUUCAAAAUACAUUUUUAUCUCUUUUCUUUUUCAUCACAUUCUUCAAUGAAAAUAAUAUUACACCUAAAUUUGAAAUUUUUCUUUAUUUUUUAACUACACAUUCUGAUCAAUCUAUUACUCCAAAAUGCAUUCUUCAAUAAAAAUAAGGCUCUAAAUAUGUUAGUCUAACAGCGUACUAGAGCAAAUAAAUAUAUUAAAUUCCAAGCUUAAUGGCUAUUUAUAAACGAAUUUUUUAGAUACAAGACAUUUGAUGAAAAAGGAUUCGCACAUGAAUGACGAGGAGACAAAUUUAAUAAAAUUAUAGAAUAAUUUUACUCUUUAGUGAUUAAAUUCUUAGACAAAAUGACUUUUAAGAUUUUUUAUUUUUUAUUUAUUUGUUUUGAAAAGAAAAGGUUUGAACAAGUCUAUGGCUGUUUGGAUGUCAUUAUAAAGCUCAACCGUGAGGCUGUUCCUUGGUAAGCAUAGAUUAGCAAAACAUGCUGGAGCAUUUGGUUUUUCUCCAAAUCUUCUGCAUUUUUUCACUGGCGGUAGCAUCACCCUGGAAUGCGACCACCAACUCCACUAAACCUGGCUGCCUAAGUAGAUGUGGAAACCUAGAAAUUCCAUACCCGUUUGGUAUCGGGUCAAAGUGCUCUUUGGACACAUCCUAUAAUAUCACUUGCGAUACUUCUUUCGACCCUCCAAAACCCUACCUCGUACUUUCUUUCAAUGGAUCCGAUUCCAGCUAUGAGGUUGUUAAUAUCUCAGAAACCCAAAUCUAUGUUAAGAACUCGGAGGUACAACUCGCAAAGGCCUGUUAUGGUAUGGGAUUCGAUAACAAGACACAGAAUUCUUCUAUAUUAUUGGAUUUUUUUGAUAGUCCUUAUACCUUAUCAAACGCGAAUCAGGUCACAUCCAUUGGUUGUGAUGACUUCGCUAGGGUACAAUCACAUGCAUCCAGUGACUCCGACGGUGGUUUUGCUUGUGCAUCCUACUGUAAAAACAUUUCAUAUUCUGCUGGGUCAUGUCUGGGCAGGGGAUGUUGCCGGACCUCCAUAACCAAAGGUGCAUUUCUUGUAGUUGAACUAUCUGACAUGUAUUGGGGCCGAGAUAGCAGACUUUUCCGGUGUAGUUUUGCCUUCGUAGGAAUGAUAGGUGAUGAUAAUAAAUUUAAUUUUAAUUUAUCUCAUCUUAAUGAUUCAACAACAUUCCUAAGCAAUAAUAAAAAGUUUAUGAGUAUGCCGUUAGUGUUGGACUGGAGAAUUACUCGCCACAUGAAUUGCACAGAUGUUCAGAAUUCCACUGAUUAUGCAUGUCAAAAGAAUAGUGAUUGCAUUAAUUUGUACUCCGAAUAUGGAGGAUAUCAAUGUAGGUGCAAGAAAGGGUAUGAGGGCAAUCCUUACCUAGGAUGCCAAGGUCAGUUCUUUUCUAAAAAUUAAUAUCCAUACUUAAUUGAAGUCUUGACUAUUUUAUUGACGACUUCAAUACCAAAAAUCUGACAAUUGUUUGUUGUGAUGCUUAAAUGGGAUGGGGUGUGGCAGAUAUCAAUGAAUGCAUGAAUAAUCAUAAAUGCAUCUCAUAUGGAGCCUGCACCAAUACUCCGGGUUCUUAUAAUUGUUCCUGUCCUUCCGGUUAUCGUGGUGAUGGUAAAAGAAAUGGUUCUGGCUGUAUUCCAAUAUCGGUACCCCAUGGUAAACUCGCAAUAGGUAAUUUUCAAAUAAUCUUUUGCAUUUUAGAUAACUGGUGAAAUUUAUUUUUCUUAAUAUUUUCUGCUUUUAAUUUAUAAUUAAUUAUUAAAUAAAAUUUGAUGUCCAAUAAUCAAGACAAUCAAUAUUAUGCAAUUGCUUGUUAAUUUUUUUUAUUUAAAUAUAAUACAAUUGCUUAUUGAAAUUUUUUCCUAUAAUCAAUGUUUAAAUUAAUUUAAUCAUUUAUUAUUUUAGAAAUUGUCAUCAAUCAAAUAUUUAAAAUAGGUUAGGAAACACAAUAUACGAAGCACAAUAUGAUGAAUAGCAAUUCACAUUGCCAGGAGUUAUCUAUCCUCAAAAUUUAAGCUUUAGUAUUCUCAAUAUUAUUGAAUUGUACUAGUCCCAAUAUCAAAUAAGUAAACAAACAAAAAAGGAUGAAGAUUCCAAAUUAGAAAAAUAUACAUGAUUGAAUCCUAAAUAGAUGUCAUGAUCUUGACUUUAAUUAUGUUGCAUAUGUUGAUACUUUCAGGAGCAGGUUUGGGGGCUGGAAUGGGAUUGGUAGGGCUGCUAUCAACUUGCUUUUGGUUGAACAAGUUUCAGAAGAAGAGAAAAACUAAAAAACGCAAAGAAAAAUUCUUCAAACAAAAUGGUGGUCUUCUACUACAACAACAAAUAUCAACAGACGAAGGAAUACUUGAAAAAACACGACUUUUCAGUGUUAAAGAGUUAGAGAAAGCCACUGAUCACUUUAGUGAAAGUCGAAUACUUGGUGAAGGAGGUCAAGGGAUGGUGUAUAAAGGAAUGUUAUCCGAUGGAAAGAUUGUGGCAAUAAAAAAAUCCAAGGUGGUAGAUGAAAAUCAAGUGGAGCAGUUCAUUAACGAGAUUGUCAUGCUUUCACAAGUUAUUCAUAGGAAUGUAGUUAAGCUAUUAGGUUGUUGCCUAGAAACUGAAGUUCCUUUACUAGUUUAUGAAUUCAUUUGCAAUGGAACCCUUUAUGAUCGUAUCCGUGACAAGAGUGAUGAGUUCCCAUUAUCAUGGACCAUGCGCUUAAAAAUUGCGGUAGAAGUCUCAGAAGCACUUGCCUAUCUUCAUUCUGCAACUUCUAUCCCCAUCUAUCACAGAGAUAUUAAGUCAACUAACAUUCUGCUUGACGAAAAAUAUGUAGCUAAAGUCUCGGACUUUGGAACUUCAAGAUCAAUCGCAAUGGAUCAUACUCAUUUAACCACACUAGUAAAAGGAACAUUUGGAUACUUAGACCCUGAAUACUUUCAAUCAAGUCAAUUUACAGAAAAAAGCGAUGUUUAGAGUUUUGGAGUUGUUCUUGUUGAGCUCUUAACUGGACAACGGCCAAUAUCUUUUGCCAAAACAGGAGAGGAAAGAAGUUUAGCAACAAGAUUUUUGUUAUGUAUGGAAGCAGACAAUCUCGAAAAAAUUCUUGACAGCCAAGUUUUAGAGCAGGGUAAGAGAGAAGAACUAAUUGCAGUGGCAAAACUUGCACAAAGGUGCUUAAAUUUGAAUGGGAAGAAAAGGCCAUUGAUGAAAGAAGUAGCUGCAGAGUUGGAGAUUAUUAAAAUAUCUCAAACACAUUCGACUGCAUCUGAUACUAAAUAUCAAGACAUACAGUUGCGCAAAUCCAAAGCGAUAUUGGUGUCGAAUGAUGACUACACAUGGACAAGUACCUCUGACAAUAUCAUCCCAUCAUCAGACGCACGUCCCCUAAUGAUUCACACUGCUUGAUGCAUUCUCUGAUUUCUAAACAAUUUCCUUGUUUGUUGAAUAAUAAAUGCUUUUGUAAUAGUUUAUUUAAACACCUAAAUAACAUUUGGCCAAGAUUUUUGUAAUAUCAAUACAGGGAUCAGACUUUUUCAGCAUGAGAUUUUUACCUUCUAUUGAUUUAUAUUAAUUGAUUCUUUUUAUCUAUCGUUCAAAUUAUGACCUAUACAAACAUGCAUUUGCUUACUAUAUUGGGUUUUUUCUCGACUCUCAAACUAGGGUGUAUUAUGCUACAAUUUGGUUUAACACUACAAAUGGACUGCAUACUAUCAACGUAUUAUUUUGUGCUCUCUGCCUAAAGACAUCAUAGAUUUCUUCAGUAUCAAUAUCUAAUUUGGCUUCAUUACUUGUGUCUAUUCAGAACCUUGAACAUGUAUUUCAUAAAUUUAAACUAUUCCUUUGAUUUAUAAAAAGAAAAGAAAAAUUGAAAGAAAACAUUUUUUCUUCAAAGGACGGAAUAUUCAUUAAACAACCUCUAUGUUAAUUGGUUCUUUUGCAGAUGAAAGUGACUUGAAAUAUGAGAAUGCUUAGGCAGUUCGGCUUUCUCAUGAAAUUUCAGGAUUUUAAAUUGUCUGAAGACAUUAUUUUUCAAAUCUGAGAGAUCAAAUCAAGGAUAAAUGGCAGAAAUUGACCUUGAAGAGUAUGUUGUUCACCAAUAGACCAACAAGGUCAUUGUCAACUUUGAAAUGAUGUUAACGUUCGAAAUUUAUCAAGUUUAACCCUUGUUUGAGCUCCAUUUAACCAAAAAUACAUUUUCCAUAUCUCAUUUUCAACCAUACUUUUUCCUACAAAAUAAUAUUAUACGAAAAUCCAAAACUUUUUCUUACUUUUUAAUCACACAUUAUUCGAAAAAUUACUAUUCAAUAAUAUACUUUUUUCCAAAAACCUUAUUAAAAUGGAGCCAGGAAAGGAGCUUAAUGGCAUAGACUUAAUUAGAAGACCCUUAUACAUUUUUUUUUUAACCGAUUAGAGAUGAAAUUGUGAGUAUUGUGUUUUGAAUGGUUGACCAAGAAAUAAGAGUUAGACGGUGCAUGACCCAUAUUGUACUGAUAACUGUUAUUUGACGAAAAAUAUUUGUUUGUAAGAUUUGGAAAAAUUGUUCGGCCUUGAACCCCACGUAUAUAGAAAAUUGAAAAUUUAUACUCUUGAAAGAAUAAUGCUAAUCAAUAUUGUCUAGUCUACCAUACCAAAUAAGUAAUUUUUAAGACUAGAAAUUGUUAAUUUGGAUUGUGGACAAAUUUUAUAAGGACCUUCCUGAACCUGACUUGGACGGAAAAAUUAAAAAUCAAGCUUCGUCAAGUAUAAGAAUGAGCAUGAGAAGAUUGGCUAGUUCCCAAAGUCUAGUCUCUUUGGUUUUGCCUUUGCUAAACGUCAAUAUGGUGUGUGUGGACUAUGGACGUCUCAUUGGUAUGAAAACCAUUAUCGUAUCCAAUACUAAAAGUAGUAACCAUCUUUUGCUCCCCCUACCUAUCACACAUGUAGUAAGUAGUAACCCUUUUUUUAUCUCUUCCAGACCUCCUCUCCCUCCAUCUCCUGACAACAAUUUCUAUUUAUCACCUCUGAUUAACAUGCUAAGCAACGACAACAUGAUAUAUCAAUUCAACAAUUUCAAUUUAAUUUUUGAGACACACCAUGACUUAUCUAUCGAUGUGUCAUGUUACAACUACUUAGCAUAAACUAAACAAAUGUGCUUAUUAGAUAACUAUCAAGUUUUGAAUAUAUACAAACUUGAUAAUGUUAUCACCAUAGACUUGUCAUUUUAUUUUAUUUUUACAUGGCUAUUAAAGCCACAAAAUGUUAGCGGAGCACUCAAUUUUUCAUUUUAUUUUAUACAAAAUGUUAGCGGAGCACUCAAUUUUUCAUUUUAUUUUAUUUUAUUUGCAUUGCAAAAUUAUUGUGAAGGAAUAUGUCGCAAUUAGUUUCAUAAAAGUUUUAUUUUAUAAAAUGAUAAUGAUUUAAUACGAUAAAAGUAAUAUGAAACAUUUAUGCUUUAGUUUGUUCUCAUCAUUUUCAAAAUAUAAUUUUUUUCUCUCUUAUUUUCAACCACAUAUUUUUCAAUAAAAUAAUAUCUCAUGCAAAUUCAAUUUUUUUCUAAUUUUUAACGACACAUGAUCUAUCAAAUCACUAUUAAAAUGAUUUUUUGGCUAAAAAUAGGGAUAAAACAAGCUCUAUAUAUUCAUUAUUAAAUAAAUAAAAUUCAUUGGUUACAAUAAUUCAUUAUUCAUAUCUCCAAUUUCAUAUUAAAUUUUUUUUAUCAUAAAAACAUUUUCAUUUGUUUGUAGUCAUACAGUUUUUGUUGUUUUGUUGUUCUGCUUUACUACCUCAAAACUUAACUUUUUUCAAUUGUUUGGAUUUUAUUUCCAUCUGCAACUCUUCAGUUUUUACGACUUUUUUUUUUUUUUCAAAAUAGUGAUUCUUAAAAAUCUAUAAUAUAUUAAAUAUCAUAUCAAGUAAGAAUCAUUUUUUUAACGAUUCUAACCCUAUUAUAAUUCAAUUAUUUCAAUAAUAUCUUACUUUUUAUUUUUAAUUAUGUAUUUAAUUUAUUUAAUCAUUUAGUUACCAUCAAUGUACAUGUACAUUUGACAGGUUUAUUUCACUUGUGUGCUUUUGUUAAUAUAUGAAUUUCUUAUUAUUAAUUCUCAAUUAAUUAAUAUUCACAUUCAUUUAAUUAAUAUUUAUCUUCAUUUAUGCAUUUUGGUGUUAUUAAUUCUAAAUAUGGUUAAUUAGAAUUUCACAUUCAAGAAUGCAAUUCAUUAUUAACGUCCAUGUAUGCUAAUUGAUAUCCAAUUUUACAUAAUUGAAAAUUAAAUAAAUUAUUUAACAGUUAUUGUCACGUAUAUAUUCCUUGGUAUUAAUUCUAAAUUAAUUAACAUUGACGCAUAUUCAAUUGUUACUUUUACAGCACUUAUAAAAUAUUUUAUAAUUGCAAGUUCAACGUUAUGAAAGAGAUGAGUAACUAAAUGAUAAUCAUUUUAAUAACCAUAUAUUUUCAAAACAUAUAAUUUGUUAACAUUACUUAAGAUUUUUUUUAUGAAUUGUCAAAGAAUUCAAUAUUUGAUAAUGAAGAUAUCUAAUACAUUGAAAUACGUAGCUUGCUUGUACGUUUAUUAUAUAGUUUUGCUCGGAUCAAAUAAGAUUUACGUUUCGGUGUGGUAUGUAGUUUUUACCUUGGUCUUUAUUUUUAAUCAUUUAGAGCUAAUUGAGUUGAUAUCUAUGUAAUUGAGGUGUAAAUAUAUUAAUUGUAUGUAAAUUCUAAUUUGAGUGCAUUUGGAUGAAACUGGCAUGAAAAUGGACAUAUUUUAGGGCUAAAUUAAAAUUUAUUUGGAGCAAUUGAUGAUCAAAGGGAUUAUAAAUCUCAAUUGUGACGCUGUUGUUUAGUAUGCGAAGAUUAGCGUGGUGCUUUUUCUUUUUUGGAAUAACAUGUUGGCACAUUUGGUUUUGCUCUAAAUCUCCUACUUUCUUUCACUAGUGGUAGCACUACCGCCAAAUGCAACUGGAGUCGCCGCCACCACCACCACCACUUAACUUGGCUACCAAGGUGGAUGUGGAAACCUUGAAAUUCCAUACCCAUUAGGUAUUGGGUCAAAAUGUUCCAGGACCAUAAACUUCAAUAUAAACUACAAUACUUCUUUCAACCCCCCAAAACCCUACCUCCUAGUUCACUAUGGAAAAUAUUCCCACGAGGUGGUUAAUAUCUCAGAAACCCAAAUCUAUCUCAAGAACACGGAGACACAAUUGGUAAUGGCCUGCUAUGGUAUGUGAUUCGAUAACAAGAUAGAGAAUUCUACUUUAUCAAUGGAACUUGUUAAGGGAUAUUAUCCCUAUAUCGAAUAAAGAUGAAAAUAUAGACUAAUUUAUAAAGGUUUGGACUACUUCUCUUACGAUGGAACCCCAAGUCUUAACUUGGUAUCAGAGCUCAUUAAACUCCAACGAGUGAUUCAAUCCGAUUAAGACUCAAUAAAUGAGUAUACGAAUUUCAAAAUUGAUUUGUUCAAACGAGCCACCAUUUUGCGAAGACGUGUUAAGGAAUAUAAUCUCAUAUCGAAUAAAUAUGAAAAUAUAGACUAUAGACCAAUUUAUAAAGGAUUGGACUACUUCUAUUAACAAGGUUGACCCUUUUGAAUAGUCCUCAUGCCUUGUGAGACGCAAUUCAAAUCACAUCCAUUGGUUGGGAUGACUUGAAUAUGGCAUCACAACUUUAAUACCUAACAAAUACCUUUGACAGUGGUGCUUGUGCGUCAUACUAUGGCGGCCUUCCUGAUUAUAUUCAUAUUAGGUCAUGUCUAGGAAGGGGCUGCUGCCGAACCUCUAUAUCUAGAGAUGUGUAUCUUCGAGUUGUAUUGUUAGACAUGCAUAGUUAGUGGGGUCGAGAUAGCAAAAUUUUCCAGUGUAGCUUUGCCUUUGUUGGAAUGACAGGUAAUUAUGAUAAAUUCAAUUUUAGUUUAUCUCAUCUCGAUGAUUCAACAACAUUCCUACGUAGUAAUAAAGUGUUUUUUGGUAUGCCAUUGAUGUUGCAUUGGAGAAUUUAUGGCUAGAAUUUGCAUCGUGGAGCAGAACUCCACCAAUUAUGCAUGUGGAAAGGAAUAGUUAUUGCAUUACUUACAAUACCGAUCUUAGUUUUGGAGGAUAUCGCUGUGAGUGCAAGGAAGGAUGCAAAGGCAAUCUUUUACCUAGAAUGAUGUGGUUAGUUUUGUUUAAAAAUUACUAUCUGUACUUAAAUAAAGUCGAUAUUUUACUAACUAGUUCAAUAUAAAAAAUCUAAUUAUUUGCAUGGACAAAGAUGUCAUAAUCUAUACUCACAAUUUUAGUAUUAGUAUUCUUAAUAUUGUAUUUUUAUCUUAAAAUCAAAUUAGUAAACAAACAAAAAGAUCAAUAUUCCUGCUUUAGAAAACUAUACAUAACUACACCUUUAUACUUUCAGCAGUAGGGUUGGGCACUAGAAUCGGAUUACUACUAUUGUUGUCAACUUGUUUUUGGUUGUUCAAUUUUCAGAAAAAGAGAAAAAUCAAAAAGCACAAAGAAAAGAACAAAAUAGUGGUUUCUUCCUAUAACAACGAACAUCAACAAAUGAAGGUAUACAUGAAGAAACACGACUUUUCACUAUUAAAGAGCUAAAAAUAGCAACUGAUAACUUCAACAUAAGUCGAACACUUGGUCAAGGAGGUCACAUGACAGUCUUUAAAAGAAUGUUAACAGAUGAAAAAAUCAUAGCAAUAAAAAAAUCCAAGUUAGUAGAUGUAAAUAAAGUGAUGCACUUCAUUAAUGAGGUUGUCAUGCUUUCUCAAGUUAUUCAUAAGAAUGUAGUUAAGCUAUUGGGUUGUUGUCUAAAAAGAUAAUAUCAUUUAUUAAUUUGUGAAGUCACUUGCAAUGGAUCGUAUCUGUAAUGAUCAGUUUCCAUUGUUAUGGAACAUGCGCUUGAAAAUUGCUUCAGAAAUGGCAGAAGCACUUGCUUAUCUUCAUUCUACAGCUUCUUUUUCUAUUUAUCGUAGAGACAUGAAGUCAACUAAUAUACCAUUUGAUGAAAAAUAUACAGCCAAAGUCUCAACCUUUGAAAUUUCAAGGUCAAUUGUAGUGGAUCAUACUCAUCUAACUACCCUAGUAAGAGGAACAUUUGGAUACAUAGAUCCAGAGUAUUUCUAUUUAAAUUAGUUUACCAAAAAAAAGUGGUGUUUUAUAGUUAUGGUGCUGUCCUUUUUGAGCUCUUGAUUGGACAAAGGCGAAUAUCUUUGGCUAAGACACGAGGAAAAAAGUUUAGCAACAAGAUUUUUGUUAUGUAUCGAACCAAAAAUUCUUGUAACACUUUUUGACAUGUGGCCAAACUUGCUCAAAGGUCCUUAAAUUUGAAUAGGAAGAAAAGGCUAACUAUGAAAGAAAUAGCCAUGGAGUUGGAGAUUGUUAGAAUGUCUCCAACACAUUAAACUAUAUCUGAAACUAACUAUUAAGGUGCACAGAUGCGCUAAUCGGAAACAAUAUUGAUGGCGAAUGAUAACUUCACGUGGACAAGUACCUAUGGCAAUAUCAUCCCAUCAUCGGAUGCCUAUCCUAUAAAGAUUAACACUGAUAAAGAUUAACACUGUUUGAUGACUUCACUGGUUCUAUUCAAUUUCCGCAUUAUUGCCAUUAUAUGCUUUUGUAAUUGUGUAUUUAAACAUUUAAAUUGUUAUAAUAUAAUUUAUAUUUAUAUAAUGUGUGUAUAUGUGUGUGUGUGUGUAUAAUUCUCAAUAUAAAAAACUUAGUUUUUGGCAGCUCAAGGGAAUUGGUUCUUUUUCUUCUUCUUUUCUUCCUUUGGUUGAUUCAUCAAAUUAGUUUAUAUUAUUUACAUGAUAUCAGGGCUACAUUUGAGCAUAUCCUAUUCUUUUAUGUUUCUAACAAUACUCAUGAUGUGACUAAAACUGAUCUCAUUCGUAUAAAUUCAUUCUCUGAUGACAUCUUUUCAUACCCAAAGUACUACUUAUUCUUUAUGUCCUACAGGUACAUGCCCACCAAGCACUACCUGAGAUCGUUGAUCCAGCUCUUAUUCCCUCUUUUCGCUAUCCUCAACAUAUUUGUAAGUCCACUAAAUUACCUGAUUUUACUUAUUAUUGUUAUUCAGAGUUCUUUUGCUAUUUUCUUACCUCCAUACACAAGUCAUCUGAACCUUCUUCUUAUAAAUAAACUAUUCUAGAUCCUCUUUGGCAUCAGGCUAUGACUAAUGAACUCUCUACUCCAUAUAAUACAGACACUUGGGACUUGGUUGACUUACCUCUAAGUAAACAUGCUAUUGGUUCUUGUUAGGUUUAUGAGACUAAAACCAAAUCUGAUGGUUCAGUUGAACGUCAUAAGACUAGAUUAAUUGCUACGGGUUUUAAUCAGCAGUUUGGUCUAGAUUAUGAGGAGAAUUUUGCUCCUUUUGUCAAGAUAACCACACUUCUACACUUAUUGCAAUUGCAUCUAUUCGUCAAUAGAGUCUUUCUCAGCUGAAUGUCAAAAAUGACUUUUGAAUAGACAUAUUCCAGAGGAGGUUUAUAUGGUUCCCUCUCCUGGUCUUUCUCAUACUUCUGAAUAUGUUUGUAAGCUCAAGAAAGCACUUUAUCGCUUCAAACAGGUUUCUCGUGCCUGGUUUAAGAAAUGUUCCAUUGUUGUUAUCUCUCUUGGCUUCUCAUCUAAUCAUUGUAAAUCAACACUAUUCUUUUGGUGCACUUCAGCUGGUCACAUUCUGCUUUUACUAUAUGUCGAUGAUAUGAUCAUUACUGGUGAUGAUGUUAAUAGGAUUGCUAAUUUGAAAGCAAAAUUGGCUCGUCAUUUUGAAAUAAAUGACUUAGGUGUAUUGUCUUAUUUUCUGGGGAUUGAAGUUGCUUUUUCUCCUAGAGGUUAUAUUCUCUCUCAAUCCAAGUAUACUAUGGAUGUUAUUAAGCAUGCUCGUCUAACUGAUACUAAAAUUACUGAUACUCCUCUUAAAUCUAAUGUUCAUUAUUUACCUUCUGAUGGUGUAUCCUUGACUGAUCGCAUUUUGUAUUGCAUCAUUAUUGGAUGUAUGAUUUAUCUUAUCAUCACACAUCUCCAUAUUGCUUAUGUUGUUCACAUUGUUGUCAGUUUGUUUCGGCCCCUACUAUUGUUCACUGGGUAGCUACUGUUUGUAUUUUGCACUAUCUUCAUGGUACUUGCUUUCAAAGUCUUGUGUUUCCCUCAACGUCCCCUUUUUUGCUCUGUCCUUACUCUGAUGCUUAUUGGGCCAGUAAUUCCACUGACCGAAAGUCCACUACUAGCUUUUAUAUAUUUUUGGGUGAUUUUCUUAUCUCUUGGAAGAGUAAGAAAUAGACUGUUGUUUCCCAUUCCUCUAAGGAGAUAAAGUAUCAUGUUAUGGCAUCCACCACCAUUGAGAUUAUAUGCUUGCUUUGGUUACUUGCAAACGUGGGUGUUCAUUCUUCUUCUCCAACCCCUAUGUAUUGUGACAAUAAUGGUGCUAUUCAGAUGUUAUACAACAUUGUGUUCCAUGAGUGCAUAAAGUAAUUGAGACUGACUGUCAUCGAAUCCAUCAUAAUCUGCAAAUUGACACAAUUUUCCUACAUGUUGUUUCCAUCAUUGUAGCAUGCUAACAUCUUCACAAAGUCUCAUUCGGUUCAUCGUUUUCGCUUCUUGCUUGACAAACUCUCACUGCUUCUUAUUGUUGCAUCAUAAGUUUGAGGAAGAUGUCAUAAUAUAAUAUAGAUUUAUAUAUAUGAUACAAUAUAAUAUUUGUGCACAAUAUUAUUAGUUUCCUUUCUUUGGUAGGUUUCCUUUUAGUUUUGUUCUUCUUUUAUAUAUAUAUAUAUAUAUAUAUAUAAUUCUCUCAAUAAAAUAACCUAGUUUUUGGCGGCUCAAGAAUUUUAUCUUUUUCUACUCUUAAAAGGUUGAACCUCAACCUUAAGAGUCUCCCACCGCCCCUACCUUGGAGUAUCGUGAGGGAGGUAAAUCACAGGUUAUGCCUCCAAAGGUAUAGGGUAGAAGGCUGCUUGUACACUUGCACUUACCCAAAAGUCAAAUCCAUAUUUCAGGAUUCGAACCCUUGACGCGGCAGCCUCAAGUAAAGUUAGAUUUCUCCACCCUCCCCUUUUAUCACUUGAAGAUGUGCCCAGGUGGCUCUUUUUCUACUCUUUGUAUGAUUGAUUCAUCAUAUUAGUUUAUAUUAUUUACAUAAAUAACAUAUAGGCAUCAAAAAUUGGGUUGCAUUCUAAAAGCCUUAACAAACACCAUCUUGUCAAGAUUUUUUUAAUAUUAUUACAGGCACAUGCACAUGGCAUGAGAUGUUUUAAAUCUUAUUCAACCUCAUAGUAUAUCAUUAUAUAAAGCAAAAAACUAGAGUUAUCAAAAAAAUUAUAAAUUUUCAACAUACCCAAACAUCUUUUAAUAUUUGUCUAUUAUGUUGGACUAUCUCGUCUAAAAUAUUAAACAAAUAGUGACACGAAAAACUUAUAUAUUUAAACUGAAUAUAUUUGAGAAGAAAUUUUCUACAAAAAUGAUAAUUUAUUUAUGUUACACGACAUUUUAUUACUUGUCCAAUCAAUAAUUAAAAGCCACUUUUAGAAGCUAACUUACAUAAAGUGUAUGGUAGAGUGAUAUAAAAUGUACCCUUUCUUAGAAUAUCUUCUUUGACAACUAGGCAACAUGGAAGCAGAUUACUUUUUGAUAAAGAAAAACACAGUAAGGUCGUACAAGAAAAAAUAAAGUGUCAUCUAUUUGAAGAGGGGUAGAUUGUUGACUACUUCCGAGUCUCAUCGUUUGCACAAUAUAUCUCUUGAUUUUACAAAAAUGUUAAUGUAGUUUAACACAAGUAUUUCUUGAAGUUUAGCAACUAUAUUUUUGUUAUGUAUGGAAGCCAAAAAUCUUGAAACAAUUCUCGACACCCAAGUUUUAGAGUAAGCUAAGAGAGAAGAGCUAAUUGCGAUAUAGUGAUGGCAAAAAAUCUCGUCCCGUCCUGUCCCGAAUGGGGCAAAAAAACCUGUCCUGAAUGAGUUGGCAAGACGGGGCAAGGUGGGGUGCCUCGUUGCGGGGUGAGGCGAGGAUGCCCCGCCCUGAACUCGCCUCGUGAAGAGAAAAAAAAUAUUAAAAAUAAUUUUAUUUCUAGAUAAUUCAUCCGUUAGAAACUCAUUUUGAAUUUGUAUUUAUUAUUUAAUAAUCACAUUAUAACUCAAAAUUUUGAAAAUGUAAAAAAAAAUAUAUAUAUAUAAUAAAAAUAAAAUUAUAUAUAUAUAUAUAUAAUUUAUUUAAACGAGGCAAAAAGUUGCCCCGCACCGCACUGUCUAAGGCGGGGCGAGGUUUGAGCGAGACGAAGCUAGGCGGGAAGGGGACGCCCCACCCUGAGCCCGCCCUGUUGACAUCCCUAUUGCGAUGGUAAAAUUUGAGCAAAGGUGAUUAAAUGUGAACGGAAAGAAUAGGCUAUUAAUGAAAGAAGUAACUAUCGAGUUAGAGAUUAUUAAAAUGUCUAAAAUGCAUUCGAUUGCAUCUGAAACUAAAUAUCAAGGCGUACAAUAGCGAAAAUCAAGAUCAAUACUGGUGUCGGAUGAUAACUACACAUGGACAAGUACCCGUGACAAUAUCAUCCCAUAAUCCAAUGCAUAUACCUUAAUGAUUCUCACUGCUUGAUGCAUUCUCGAAUUUCUUAAAAAUUUCCUCAUUUGUUGCAUAUAUAUGCUUUUGUAAUUUCUACAAAAAAGCAAGCUUGGCAAUACCAUGUGACAUAUGUACACUUUUCUAUAACCAAAGAUGUACAAGUAGCUUAACUCUUCCUGAAAAGCCUAGCGUGUUGACUGUUUAUCAUACUAGUACAAUUAGAUCUAUCAAUUGAGAUGGUGUCACGGAGGAUCCUCUCUAGCUAGAAAAACAAUUUCGCAGCUAGUGAGCUAGCAUCACAGCUAAGCUUUGAAUCUAGGAAACCAAAAAUCUCUACAUCUAGGGAAAUCUCUACAUUUAGGUCAUCUACUAAUUUAGAAUUUAUCAAAUCCUUUCCACUUAUUUCCCUGAGUUGGGAGCACUGCAUUACAAAUUUAUAAGCAUAAAUAUUGUGGUUCCAUCAUCGAAAAAUAUUUUUUUCUUAGAAAUUGCCGUAAUCUAAUGUGCAAUUCUCGUGCGACAAUCAUCAAUUGCAUUGAGAAAAGCAUAUAUAAUUCAUACAUUGUAGGUGCCAUCAACAUGUAAUAUUGACAAUCUAUAUGAGUUUGGGCAUGUAUCUAUAACAUUAAAUUAAACAAGUAAAGAUCAUUUUCAUCCAAAUAUAGAUUAAGUUGUAUUCACGAUUCUCUGAAAUCCAUAAUUAUGUACCUGAUACCAAAUAAGUAAUUUCCAGUAGAAAACUAUUGUUUGAAGAGAAAAGAGAGAAGUUUUCACUAGAACAGUUAAAUGAUUAAUAAAAUUGGGCAAGCAAUAUUGUUCGUAAUUACAUUUAGGCUUGCGUGAAAAUUCUAGCAACUGAUUAUCACAUUAGUCUGGUAAGAUCUAUUAUAAUCCGGAUAAAACAUACUGUGCUGGUUUGAAUCUUUUAAUGUAUGAACUUUGCAUUUGUAUUUUUAGGUAGAGGUUUUUUUUUUUUUUUUUUUUUUUUGGGUUUAAUGGAAAGAAUAAAUGAGUAAAUAAUGGAUAGGAUGUUUAUGUCAUUUUAAUUAUAAUUAUUUAAGUGAAUAAGAAAAUUGUAGUGUACUAAAUGAAGGUAAUAUAACCACCCUUUACAUUUUUGCAUGAGAUAGUUAUAUAGAAAUUGUGGAUGGAUCUGCAAUAUUUGUGUAAAAGAGAAAUUAUAAUUAAUAUGUAAAAAUAAAGAUUCAUUAUCCAUUUUAGCGAUUGGAUCCAAUGUUACGAAAUCAAAUUCCAAAAUCCAACGGUUCCAUCAUCGAUGGCUCACUGGAUCUCUUCCAAGCUCAAAGCCGCUGAAACUCUCCUCCAUCAGGUAAUUCUCCAACAAUCUUCUCUUUCUAGAAUAAUUAUUAUUAUUUUUUUUUUUUUGCAGUAAUUUAAUUCUGGUUUCCUGCAUUGUGAACAAUUAUUCACUAAAUUUGUUGGAAAAAUUGGCCGACUUUGGCACGAGUUUUGAGUGGGACCCGGUUGUUUAAUUUGGAAGAUGAGAGUUGAUUAGUGUUCUCCUCCGUGAGUACAUCGAAAUUUUAUACUUACUUGCCAAAGUUGAUGCUCGUGUGAAUGAGAAAUUGUGGCUCAAAGUGUGUUACUCAAAAGGGAGUUUAUGUGGGAAAAAUGAAUUUGUCCCACAUAGGAAAAAGAUGAAGAACUCCUAAGGUCAUUGCCAUUAAUGGUAGCCUAGCCUAUAAAUAGUGGCUCAUUUUCCUCAUUUCGACAAAAAAAAAAAACAAAAGUUUUCAAGUUUAGAAUACACUAAAAAUUCAUUUGCAUAGAGUUCUCUCUUGAUGGUGGUGUAGUUCAGACACUAGUUCAGUUCGCCGGAGUGGUUUCUGUGGUGUUCGGAAGCUACUGGUUUUACUAUUGUACCCUGAAAAACGGACGCUUGUUUUAAACCUCAAGCACAGACGGUGAGAGG
rnacentral:lncRNA from 1 species